rnacentral:lncRNA from 1 species
AUAGGGCAAGGUGAAUAAAUGCAUGCCUUUACUUUGCCAGACUCAUUACCUUGGAAGCACACCUCUCUUAAACUUUUUGAAGAAAGACUCCUCUUGCGAACAAUUGGUGAGUCUUUUGGAUAUGCUACAAAAGGGACUUGGCGAGUUGACUGAGUCGCAUGCCUAUCCAAAAAUCUCUCAGUACUGGAAGCAGUGUUGCUGCACUCCGAUGAGGAAGGACUAGAAGGGAUAUCCUCCAUUAGAACUUUAUCUAGCAAAUCUUUCUCAGAGGUCAAAAUCCCAAGACCAACUUUUUGACUUUGAACAAAAUGCUGCUCAAUCAGGUUGUAGCAGGAGGGAAUUACGCUGUACAUCGCUUUAGUUUCAUUGGUGCAGUCCGAAACAAUCAGAGGAGUUCCAGUGCAGUUGUACAAUAGAAAUGGGACAAAGAUGAAUACUUCCCGAGCCCCACAUGUUGCAUCCAUUGUUUUCUCACACGAUACAUAAACAGAACCUAUAAGAUAAUCAAUAUUAAAAUUGUCUCAAAAUGAGUAGCCAAUUUAAAACAUAAAGAGAUAAACCUUACCACCACCAACAUAAGAAUCAAAGGAAAUAGUUUCAAUCUGAGAGAACUUCCCUCCACUGAACUUAGCCGCUGUGCUAAAAGUUUCUGAGCGUGAAAACUUCAAAGAUGAUGAUCUAUAGCCAUUUAAUUUGAACUCAAGGACCAGAUCAUGUGAAGGAUCAAUGUGAUGGAAUGGCGUCUCCCCCUAAAAAGAUACAUUUUCUUGUCACAUAUAUAAUACCAUAUCAACCAUAUAAAAACAUGAUUCAACUCUAUCUUCCAGAAGGAAAUUGUAUGGAAAUAUCUCUCAGACCUCAGGAAGGGAUGCAGUCUGAGUGAUGCCACCACUUUCUAUCGAAAGUGAUAUUGGUUCUGGAAGACAGUUGCUCACAACAAAUGGAGUGCUUAAAGUUACUUGAUGAAUGACUUGCUCUCUUGAUUGGUCAAGAUCGUGCAACUGCUGACCAAAAUUUCCAUCUGGCAAAUCAUUAAGAUGAAAGGAUGCCGGCAAACUAGUGCUCUGAACAGAUAUGCAACACCGAAAUGGUUCAUGGCUAGGGUGACAAGGAUAACAAGCAAAAGAUCGGCGAAAUCCUAUCCUGCUAUCUUGAGAAAGAACUUUGGAGAUGCUAUGAGCUUCACUCCACAAAUAAGAAUCUCCGAGGGGACGCCACCGAAGCCGGCCAGAUUUAGCCAAGUGUAGAGGCAGUGGAAAUUCUUGACCAGGAAAAAUAGGAUCUAGGAUCUGAAAUAGAAUUGACAUAAGAAGAAUAAAAGAUGGUGUUAAGAUCAACCAGGUAAGGCAACUAGAAAAGAAAAGAAACAAAGCUUAAUUUUCUUAAGAAGCACAGAAACAGUGUCUGGUACCGAUAGAACAAACUGGCAUAUUAGAAUUCAAUAACCUUUGGGGAGAUGCCAAACGGAAUAUCAAAGCGAAGUUCCAAUGGCAUGGAUGUGGAGUUCAAAAUUAUAACCUGAAAUAAGGGAAAGGUCAAACGCAGAAUCAACAUUUAUAAGAACAAAUAUACAUUGUAAUUACGUCAUACAUACAGUAGAGUAUACUCGUAUCAACUUGCUCUGCUGCUGCAAUGAAACCUCGUACACAACAGGAACAACAAAGCUGCUUCCAGAACCAGAUUUACUUGCUUUCUCAACAUUAUCACUGGAGUUCGAUGUUUUGGAAAAAUCAACCUCAAAAUAGGAAAGGCCAAUUCGAUCCAUUGAAUGAGGAGGAGAAGCAAAAGAUGUUCCAUCAAGUUGGACCUUCAUAUAAUGAUGUAUGGCAUCACCAGAUUCACUGCUGAAACAACCAAAUUGACUUCGACGUCUAUCAGGAAUAAGUAGUGUGUCACUAUUAUCGAUAUAGAUGGGAACAGAAGAACCGGGUUGCACAAAGUUCUGAGCCACUGGAGCUGACAUAUUUAGCACAUCUGAAUCAUGUCCUUGAAAAACUUGGUACCCCAAAGGAAGAGAAGUUAAAUUUUGAAAUACAUAUGGGGAAUAUCGUUCUGUCCUGGUACUUUUGGUGCAGUAAACUGACAAUCCCUUAUCAUCAGGAAUGACAUCUGUUUCCAUCAAUUCCAAAGUGUUCGACAUCUCAAUUAUCCUGAAAAUGCACUUCAGCAGAGAAAGGACAAAAUUAACAUAUAUGGAACUUAGGGUUUAAAGAUAAUGAAUUUGCCAAACAUAUUUCCGUUGAUGAUUGAUAAGGAGUGAGCCAAACCAAGCCCACAAAGACCAUUGGGUAGAACUGACAACAAAAACUAGUUAAGGGUUUUGGUGCCCUGAGGUUUUCUAAAGUUUUGAUUUGGUUCCCUCCCAUCCGAUGUGAGAUUAUUUGAAUACCCAGAGUCUUAUCAAUAAUACAAGUAGACAGAAAGUUGGAAGCUACUCAUCCUAUCUGAAAACUAGUGAGAAAUAUGAUUAUAGGAUUUAGCACCAAAAUCACAGUAUUAAACCAAGCUGACUGAAACUAACCAGUCCCUGCCAAUAUUAAUUAAUACAGAAGAUUUUAACAGGGUAGAAAUUAUAUCUAUCUUACCUCAAAAAGAGAUUCUGUUAUGUUCAAAUUGAGAUGAUUUGAUGAUGCAACAAUUACUUCAGUGAGCCCAGCAUUGUUCAGCAAAGAAUUUGCAUCAAAUUUUCUGGAUAAUUUGAUAUCAAAAUUCCAGGGCUCAAUAAAAGGCUCCCACAAGACCUUCAACAUAGAUCCACAGGUGGUUAUCAGCAUACUACCAAAACAAAGAUAAAAAUGACAGCAGGAUUCUGUUUCUGCCUCGUACCUUGUGCAUAUUAUUAUAAUUCACUUCAAGAUCACAUGAAACCAAACUCUCCAUAUUCUUUUCGGUCAGAUUAGCUUGCAGGAGAAAGUUUCUCAUAAGACCUUCAAGAAGCAUACCGCUACAUCCCCACUGCAUGAGAAUAUAGAGACAGAAGAAGUCUUCAGCAGAAGUAGCUCAAAAAUUUCAAGCUGACCAGUGGCAUAUAUAGUGCAAAAGCUAAAAGACAAGGAGCUCACAGACAAUCAUGGAAGAAAAUAUGUUCUAGAAAACAGAACGCAGACCCUUACCAACCAAAAUUCACCCAUCAAAUCAAGCUCGUCGGUGAAGAAAUAUUAAAAUCGUCAUCUUAAGCACUAAUUACAAAGAAGUACCAUAAAAAUUCAUACAUUAACUGAUCACGAAGACAAACACACGCAGUACAAGGUAUAUGCUAAUGCAGCACUUGAUGAAUAUAAAAGUGAGAUCAAUGGUGCAGUGUAUUCUUAAAAAAUUACAUUAGCAUGUAGAAAUCGAGCAAAGGGAUGUGAACUGCCAAACAAAGACAUGGACUGGCACAACAGAAGUGGCAACACAAUAACAAUGAUAUACACAUAAGCAGCAAAAGUGAAUAAUUGUGAGGCCAAUUCUGUGUGAAAGAACAUUGAGAGAUGUAUUAUAUAGUAUAUAAAGCACAAGCGUACCUUUCCAUCAGAUAUAAGAAGAGACACAUCUCUUAUCUGGACUUUUAUACUCAUGUUUCCUUGCGAAUUUUGUGAAGAUGGUGUCUCAGGUGCAUCAAACGUAAUUCCAUGCCAGAAAGAUAAUACUUGAUGAGAUGCAUGCAUCUCUACAUUGUCAGACAAUAUCCCCACAUCUAUGCUCAUGAUUUUGUUCUGAUCCAUCUGAAUACUAGUUUCUACAAGUAGUUGUGCCGCCCCAAAUAGAGAGCAAGACCUGACAGUGUCAACCCCAGAUAUUGCAAGAAUCCCAUUGAGUUUUUCAAUCUUAUAGCUCAGUUUGACAUCUCUCCCAAGAAUAGAGAGUUCGCCGCUCCUACUACGCGCUGUAACAGAAACAUAUUUACAGUAAUUCCCUUUAAAAAAAUUUCUGUGCUCUUCCUCAGAUAUCUCAUGAACAUCAGUUGCCAUGAACCCUGGAAAUUCUGUAUGGCUUGUGCAAAGAGGAAAAUGGAUUUGGACCCCAAUAGUCUCUGAUCUUGCGGAAAAUGCCAUUACCUCACUAGAGUUCUCUGAUACCUCAGUUUGCAGAACAUUCAAAACCCGAUCAGUAUUGUCACAAACAGUCCUUACCACUCCAAUAGAUUCAUCCAUAUCCAAGUUUGAACCUUUUGACAAAAAAGGGUCUUCCAGUAUCUGAGAAUAAGAUUUCAGAAGUUCAAUAACUUCAAUCCAAUCAAAAGAGUGUAACCAGAUGUCUAGAGAUGGAAGAGAAAAACAGAGAUCGUAUUCAUUUUCAGCCUGUUCCGUAAAUCUGACUUUCAGUGCAGAAGGAUCCCCAUAUGCAUUGAUGCAUCUAGCUAACAUGACUGAGCUCAGCAAUGAAUAAAUCCCGAUUUCGAAAAAUUGAACAUCCAAGCUCAUAGGGAAAUUAUUUUUAAAUUCUCCAGAGCAAACAAAUUUCAUAUCAGCUUGGAGCACUGGUUCGGAUAGCAGUGUUCCAGGAUCUUUCCUUAACCGAUGCAAUUUUGCCGUCAAAAGAUUGACAAAAAUUCUGAAUUUUAUAAAGCUUGUGGAAGAUCCCAGGGGGGCAACUGACAACUCUUGCUUUAGACGCAUCUUCGUACGAAGAAACUGAGGAACAUCAGACACGAAAAGUUUUGAUUCCUCAUCGACUAAAGAAAGCUGAUCAAACACAUCAAGAAAUGCCUUAAACCCAUCCAAGGCAUCUGAAUCUGCAAAGAAAAAGAAAAAAGAUAACACAUGUAAGCAUUACUUGAAAUACAUGAUCACUGUAGAAAAACAGAGAGGGUUGAGGAGCAAAAGUUAACAUGGAGGGAAACACCACCUACCAUCCACAACAAUUUCACAAACGUCAACCCUUGACAUAACACAUGCCAAAUCCGUUAACGGAUUGCGAUCACAAGGGAAGCUAAUCCAAGCAUCAGCGAUAAUGCUAGCAGCUAGAGUGAUACUUCUGCACAUGGCGUCAUUCUCGAAUGUUGAUAUGCCACUCUCAGAAAGCAGCAACGAUACCGAUAAGUCCCGCCCAAAUAUGUUUAAACAGUCAGCUCGCUCUGCUACUUGAUUAAGCGGAAUAACACAUUCCUGUGGUAUGUGCUGCACCACAUUGCUCAAAGCACACUCUGGAACAAAGCUAAUAUAUAACUGCUGAAUGUCAACUUUCAGUUGCCGGCGGUCAUCAUCUUCCACAGGAAGAACUAUAGAGGAGUCCAGUAUCUCAAUUUUAUAAGCAAUGGCAAACUCAGAAGGAGCCUUGGUCAACUCAGUAGCUUGUGGCAAUGACUGCAGGCCAGACUUCGAAGUCCAGUCAGAAAGAGAGAAGUAGCCAAUUAUAAUGGCCAGAUAUUCCGGAGGUAAAAUGCAGCAUGUGUGUUGAAUACCUAUGCUCACUUCAAGUUCAGAACCAGAAGGCUCCAAAUCCUUCUUCCUUACACGUAGGUUCAAGACCUGCGAGACAUCUGUUGAUGAAUGUUUCCAAAGAAACCCACCAGAAUAGUUGGUGAACAAAGAUGACUCCAGCAUCAAGUCUUCAGCAGAGGCAACCAAAUCGAGAUGAUCAUCUGAAAUGGUAAGAAAGUAUCUGGAUACUGGCAGUAUAAUAGUUCCAAAAACACUUGAAGAAUCAUGAAAAUGCACAUUGGUGUUGAAGACAUGCAUAUCAACUGUAAAGUGAUUGGUCUGACCAAGAUCACUGGAGGACGCAAGCCCAUUCAGAGGGCAAUCACGUUUUGGUUGAAAAGUACAGCUGUUACAUUCGCAGUUCAAACCUAUUUGUGCCCCAUCCUUUUUAUUCCUUAAUAUAAAUAACUUCCUCCAGUCAGAAGUCGAAUAACACAGAGAACUUUCUAGGCUAUCAAGAGAACCCGAAUUGUAAAUGGUUACAAAUGGAUAUUUGUCAAGAGGAAUGCAGCCACAAGAUCUACUUUCAAUGAAGUUUGAGAAUCCAAACCUUUCAAAAUCAAACUGAGUAAUUUCUGCUGGAGCACUGGUAUCUGUAGUAAGGCUAGAUGGAUUUGUAUCGCUAGACGAGAUCUUAUAGGAGGCUAUCUUAUCCAAAAAAUUUGUCAGCAAACCAAAUAUGUAUGGGUAGCAAUGGAGUUCAGCGCCCCUCCAAUAUACUGUAUACUUGUGAAAAACAAAACUUUUACUUUGGGAAACCUUGCAAUUUAAGCUGAUAGCAGCUUCAGGAGUUGUUCCGUAAUCAAUAAUGUUGGUUUGAUCGCUAGUAUGAGCAUCCAUCCCAUGUCCAUGGGAAGAAGAUUUGAGUAGAUUUCCAGAUGAACAUAAAAUAUGACUGUCAGCUGCAUCUUUAGAGGAGCAAGCUGUCAUUUCCAGUGUUUUCGCACGGACUGACCACUCUUCAAAUUUGGUAAGCGAAUACCUGCAAAUGACGAUUGUACAAGGGAACUUGUCAGGAACCCCCAGUGAUACAAUAUUUAACAAUUGAGAACCAAGAGAAAAAGAAUUGAAUGGACGUGGUUUUGACAAUGACAUCAGUAGAUGAGUUAUAGGUAGUGAUCGUAAGACCAAAUAUGUGUGAUAAGAAGCAUGUGAACAAGCAGACAUCACCAUGGUAAAUACAGAUAUACAACAACAAAAACGCUAAAUUCAUGCUUGUUUAAUAGCUAAAGGUUAAAUUUCCACUGAUACUGUAUAAAGACACAAAAUGGGCUACUUUUACCGUUGCAACAAUUACCUACCAGAGAUCCAGUUGCUGUAUAGAAAGAACAAGCACUGUGCUAUUUUCUCCUUCAUUUUCGAGAUUGACGUGCAACCUGAAAAAUGCCAAGUUGGUUUUUAUGGUGAAGUGAAAGAUGGGAGCAGGGGAAGGUGGAGCAUUUCGAGCUGCAUGAUCCUGAAUAUCAAGAUAUUCAAUCACAGACAUGACUCCUUUAAAUAUUGACGGAGAGAAAUGGACAUUGAACAUAGGCAGAGUAGCUUCAACCUGAAAAUGAAUGGAAUGGCAAAAAAAUCAAUUCCAAAAUGUGGUCGACGCCUCUAUUAAAGUACAAGAAAUAAGUAAGUUUAUCAUUCACUCAGCUAAACUUAGACACAGCCACCUCAAACCUGAGAUAAAUUUUAAUACCUCCAACUGCUUCAAAAUCGACUCCUCCGGAAUUAUACAAGACGCAAACUUGAUAAGUAAAGAUGAUUUCUCCACAAGGGGAAGUUCUUGGAAAGGAUAAAUCUUCAUGAGCUUCAUCUGCACAAGUAAGAACAUAUGUGAUUGCUUAAACAGCUCCAAUCAAAAAGAAAAAGAAAAUUAACAUAAACAUAUCUUACCUCAAGGUUACAGAUUUUGAUAUCAAAAUGGUCAUAGAGAUCUUUGACUUGAAAAGCAUCCAAGGCUGCAACGGAAACGGAACUUUGUAAGCUAUUGACCACAUGGUCCGCAUCAGACUCCAAUCUUGGACUUGGGCUAAGAGCAUCUGUGCUACUAGAUGUGAUAGAAAGAGAUUCCAAUACCAGAACCUGUACAAGGAAAUGCACAGAAAGAUAGAAUAAAAACUGAGAAGGAUACAAAUAAGAAAACACACACACUUAUAUGUUUAUAUAAGCGAAAUACCAGAUUAUAGCUUUCUGAUUCAACCAAUCGUCCAGGGAAACUUAAGGUAAGAUCUAUUAUGUCCAGGUCCCACUUAACUUUAUUUCGGCUUGAUAAGAGGUAUCUAUGAAACAAACCACGACACAAAUAAGUAUCACGAUCAAUUAGGAUAUGAAUUUAUCCCUAACAUUUCGAUAGAGGAAACACUUACUCAGCUUUCGCUACCAAUCGCGUUUCACUUUCAAGGCCAUUGAGUGAUGAUAAAAUCUGAGCCACAAAAGAGAAUUGUUAUUGGGUUCCUUUGUCAAUUCAUAAAUACAAUCUAUAGAAUUCAUAAGUCCAGUACAAUCACAGAGACAAACUGACAUUAUAUUCUACUUAUAACCACACUUGCUUAAAACUUGUUUUUCAAAAACUUCACUAAUUAUUUCAGAACAAACAUUACGAGCAUGUAGUAAAAUAAGAGCUCACCCUUUCAUGUUGUAGUUUGAAGUAUCUUGAACCCAUGAAAAAUUUACUGACAGCUAGAAAGAAGUCUACAUCAUAAGCAGCUUCAAGUGGUUGAAGGGUGACCUACAGAAUCAAGAUGCAAAAAUCUAUAACAAAGUCAAUCCUAAUAGUAAGCUAUGAAAAAAGACCAAGACUCCUAAGAGGAGCAAACAUUGUGUUGUCCACUGAUGCAAGGUGCAGUUAGUUCACCUUUAAUGACAAUGCAACAUCAUGAUCUUUAGACAACUUCAAUCGUGCUCCAUAUGAGGGUUUCGUUUCUAGUGUAUCACUCUGAGAACAGACCUGCAUGAAACAAUUAAAUUAUUUUUCCUGUAAACAUUGUGAAAAGCGCUAAAAUCGAUUUUUAUAACAGACUACGGAGCAUAAGUUACACCUAGAUGGUUCAUAUCACCUUAGUAAACAAGUACUAGUUUGAUAAUGUUCAUGAUUUCAGAUAUUAGCAGUUAUUAACAAUAUGGCAUAGGGGUAACACAAUAUUACGACACAAACCCCUUUCAUGGUUAAAAUUUCUUUCCCAUUGUGAGGAUAGAGCAGCCUUCCAGAAAUAACAGAUACAAUCAUGGCUGUAGAAUCUUUCCAAGACUUGCAUUCAACAAUCACCCCCAAAAUGUCCAACUCUGUAAUAACUUGAGAAGAACUCCUGCGGAAUAAAUAAGAUAAAAAAGAAUGAAAAUACAAACUCUAAAAGGCAGAGGCCAAGAUGAAGUAACUGAGAAAUUGUAACUUACCCAGUUAUAUGUUGCAAAGUACCAGAAAUUUUGGGUACGUUGAGUCGAAUGGAGCACGUACAGAUCUUACCAGUUGCACUUGUAUUUCUAGGAGAUGACGAAAGAGGGUGAAACUUUGUUGCCUUGUGUAUAUCCUGCAAUGGAUGAACAGUUACUAGGAUGUUUCAAAGAAUUCUGAAACUCCAUUGCUACUAAAUGGUACUUAAAAUACCUUGACAACUUCAUCAGAAACAACACCAGAAAACUGACUUGAGUCCUCUGUGCCUCCGGCACCAAGCAUUCCCCGUGACAACCAGUUCAACCACCCACGCGACUUAUUUAAUGUAGGAUCAUCACUCGGUUCCUUUUCAGAGCCAGUGGCACCAGUCGCUCCCAUGUUCACUGUCAAUUCUGAACAAGCUUCCUGCAUAAUAAGAUCCAAAGGUAAAAGGACAGAUAAUAAAUUGCUAUUGCUAGGACAUCAACUUCUGAUAGAUAUCUGAACAGCCUUUGGUAUCUCAGCCAAAGUAUAAAAUGCUACAACAGCAACCUAAUUUACCAUACCUGCAUCUCACCUUCCGCUGCAGACCUAUAACUUAAGAUAUCAUCAAUAUCAGACUUCUUCUCCACUUCUUCCAAACCCAAACGGAUAGACUCAUCGAUUGACUGUAGCCAGAGACAUAAAGCACAGCCAUAUUAGUAGAGAAGUCACUUGACAAGAAAAACUCAGGUUUUACAAUUAUAUAGAUGAUUAGAUAUGAAGGUUACACCAAUUAGUUGAACAAAUAUGUCCAACGUAAAGCAUCUUAGUAACAUAUGUUGGAGACUAAGGCAAAGCAACAAAAAGUUUAGGGAAGAGAACAAUGAACAUAUGUAUUUCUUUCAGUCAGCAAUUUCAGAACAACUACAUUUUUACGAUGAUAAGCUCCUCUAGAGUAUUUUAUUGAUGUUAGAAGAAGAUUAAGUGUUUCUUCAAUUUCCGUUUUUUGAAAUGUAUGAUGACGCUUAAACCAAGUAUAUUAUGCAAUUUCUACCUCUGAUUCCAACAUUCCAACAAGUUUAAAAGUUCCCUUAACUGCUACAGCUACCUAUGCAAUAAACCAGAAUAAAUCAUUCAUAUGGAAGCACAUGCUAAGAUAUAACAUUUUCGAAAAUGGCAGCCCUUAUUGAAAUAUGCUUCUAAAUCAUCUUCUCCUUACCACUACGCAUUCUUAGAACACAACCAGAUGAUUAAUCACCUCAUACUAUGCUCCCUGAUGGACUUAUAUGAUGUGAAAUGUGCUUCUAAACCAUCUCCUUACCACUACCCAUUCAUAUACAUGCUGCUGCAGUAGUUAAGAGGACAAAACACAUUGAAAUGAAAAACCACCUCAUGAGAUGCUCCCUAAUUAUGUAAAAUCACCUAAAAAUAAUGAGGCUUCUAUAUCUACAUAGAAUCCAACGGGUUGGGUUAGGCAAUUUCAUGCAGUUAAACAAAUAGGAGGACACAGAGCAACAUAAUGAACAAACCCUGACACUUCUAAUCAGAUAAGGAGGAAAAUAAGAUCCUUGCCUGUUCUCUGAGAAGGAAAUCUAGCUUUAUCUUGUAGAAGUUGAUAUACCUCCUGCGCAUUCUCCUGUAUUUUUUCCCGAAACAAAAAUCUAAAAAUUAAGCAGACCGCUUGAAUAUAUUCCGGGAGUAUUUUUCUAUUUAUGCCAUGAAAUAGUAAGUUAUUUGCGUGGAAGUAAAGUAUACAGAAAUUUUAAGAGAAUCAAAAUUGUAAUAGCUAUGUGAUUAAGUAUCAUCUAAUUAAAAUAAAAGAAAUGAUGUCAGAAAAGUAAACUUACAUUCGCUGUUCAAGAAAUCUCCAUGAAGUUUUCCACAGUUUCUUAUGUACAUCAGAUAAAAUUGAUUUUUGGGCAUAGUGCCACCAAAGUUUCUGCCAUCCUGGUGGUUUCCUCAAUAAGGAAGUGGAGCAGGGACGAUACCGCCCAUACCUAAACCAUUUAAAAUGUUCUUAAAUCAGUAGUUCUUCGAAAAGUUCUGUAGUGUCAAAUAGUAGAGCUAAAACUCAGGAGAAAAAAAAAUACGAAUUGAGGAAAAGUUAUCGCUACCCUAAUGAAAGGCUUACCUCUCACGCAAUUGGCUGGUUUGCAAGUAAUCUAACAGAAUAAGAAUCUGCUGCAAUUGAAAUUCAUUCAGAGUCAUGACCUGAAACGCAUAAGUGGAAGUUAGAGUGAGUCAUGAAAAUAAAUCUUAGCUCUGAACCUAGUUCAGCAAUUUCUGAGAACUAACCACAUCAGUCAACUCAGCGCUGAUAGAAUACUGAGGAAGAUCGUCAAAAAUCUCUCCAGAUCGAUUGACCUAUGCAAAGAAGUGUAUCAGGCAAAAUGAAGAAUGCCUAUUUACAUACAGCACAAAAAUGCACUCAAACAAUAGCUGAUGCACACCAAUGUGCUUUCUGUACAAAUAUUGUAUCAUUGAUCAGAUCGCUGUAAAAAUCUUUCACCAAAUACAAUGUCCAUAUGCAGCUGAUGGUGACAAUUAAACGAAUUGGCAAAAACGGCAAUGUAAAUCAUUUCUAGUAACAUUGACUGAUUAAAAUGUCAUCAAAAUUGCGUAGGCCAUCAGGUAAAUCAAGAAAUAGACUCAGUACAGCAGAUAUAACAUAUAAAUGUGUACAUCUCAUUUUUAACAUAACCGUAAAGCUAGAGCAAGGAUGCAGCGCCUUGAAGCAGCAACAAAGAUUAGAUGCUAACAAAAGAUGUUAAAAGACAGCAAACCAAUGACGCUGUUUUAGAUCCAUUACCAAUAGCGUUACAGAAACAUGGACUGGCUUCAGUAAAUAACCAAAUCUAUUGCUUUGCAAUCUUGACUGGCACCAGUUGUCAAAACCUCUUUUUUCAUUAACACUUGGAAAGUCCAUGUUUCCCUCAUACAUGUCACAAUAUAUUUCCAAACCUUCAAUCUCCACAAGUAUAUUCACUUGCCCCCCUCUCACCCUACCAACUGAUGGCCUGAUAUUCAACAGAGACAUCAUGUCAAAUAUUUCAGGGUGCACAUAUAUCCACCAUGAUCUUAUCUUAGCAACAACAAUUUAGCUUAUGGAAGAAACAGGUAUUAAGGAAAUUUUACAGUAAGAAAAGAGACAGUUGGAAGAAAGUUAUAAUGGGGUAUACUCUAUGCUGUCUCACAAUGUGACUCAAAACACAUCACCUUACCAUAGUGUAAAGCAAAGCUACAAGGAAUCAAAUACGAAAGUGGAAUAUAUUUUUAAGUGAUAUAGAAGAAACAAGGCAACUGGAAAGAAAUUAAUGUGGGGUAUGCUCUCUGCUGUCUCACAAUAUAAUUCAAAGAACAUAUCCUUGCCAUAAAAAUAAAGCAAAGCUCAGAAUCAAACACAAAGUGGAAUAUAUUUUAAAGUGCCAGAGAAGGUGCAUAAAGAGAUUACCCAACUGAGUUUUGUUUAGUAACUGUCAAGCUUGAAAACCGCAAUCCUAAUACAACUUGCACCUGCGACAGCAGUUUAGAGUAAAACAUAUGAAAGUGGGAAAGUAGACAACACCAAACGAUUGUUCAAAUUGUACUCUAGUGAAUCGCAAGAAAGACUGAUAGUAAUUUAGAAUCACAAUGCUCAAAUAUUUAAAUCUAUCUAGAUUCAUAACCUCCAUGAUAAAUGUUAUGCUCUCACAAAUAAACCAAGAUCACAGAACGAUUAUCGAUGUAUACAAGUUUCUACAAUUGCAAUGGGAAAAUUACAAAAUACAAGCCUAUAUUCUAGCAAACUAAUUAAACAGAACAAGCAGAAGGCUUACUGAUUCAGGUUGUGCAUCGGAGUAUAAGAUGUGAAAGUUUCUGAUGGACACUUGAAUGUUAUCAAGAACCUAAGCCAAUAAAGAAGGAAAGUUAACAUAGCACAAAAAAAACAAAGACAAGAAUGAUAACCUCAUCCAAAAGCAGGAAGAUCUACACAUCCUUAAAAACCGGCAACAGACCAAUCAUAAUAUGAAAAAUGUAAUAUGCUAAAACUAAGGUUGCAAAAGGAGACUUGCGGAACAUAAUGUUACCUUGGCAGCAAUAAAUGAGAAAAAAGACUUCCCCGCUGGACUGUCUGGAAAAAGUAAAGAUUGAAGGGGUUGAACAAAUGUUGCAUUGGAGCAAUCUUAAAGAUAAAUAAGAAGGAUAUUUGCUCACCGACGCGCCUGGACAAUUUUGCUAGUUCUGCAGCAGCAAGCUUAGCUUGCUUACCAGCAAACUCUCUUUUCUCAACGACAUCUGAACUCCACUGCAAUGACCAUGCAAUAUAUAUGGGUUUAGAGGCAAACACUUGUCAUGUAUAGAAAAAAAAAGGCAACUAUACAAGGAAUUCACCUCUUGAUCAUUCCGUUGUGAUGCACAUAUAAAGACAUCUUCAAGCAUAAUGAUUAUAGGAUCCCUACCAAGUUUCUUCCAUGGAAUUUUAAUGCUCAAUUUCCCAACACGGCCUAGAUAAACAACAAACGAUUUGAUACAGACAAAACGAAAAAGCUGAGAAUCGAAACUUCAAUCGAGUAACUAUAUCACCUUGCUUGAGAGCAAUUGGAAGCUGCAAAUACUCAAACGCCUCAAGAAUCAGUUCCACGUUCUCCAAUAAGACUUCCCCUACAGUUAGAAGCACGAAAUUGUGCGUAAAUCAUACAAUAGAGUGAGAAUAGAGCGAAAGAGAAGGAGAGAAGACGUGCAAAUACCAUUCCAGAGUGUGAUCUUGAGCUGGUCUUUUUUAAUGUCUUUGAUGUAGCGACCUAAGUACCCUAACAACAGUUGAACAACUCCUUGCACAAUUCCUUCAAACAUCUUCAAUCAAUCACUAUUUCAUAUUCCAGUAAAGAAUUUUCCUCCGCCGGGAGAAGAAGAAAAGAGACGGUGGUCGGAGUAGUGCGAACGAGUCGAGGAAUAUCGUAGGGUUUUUUUCCCGUCGAAACAAAUAGACUUGUCUUCUUCUUCACAAGACUAAAAUUUCUUUCGGUUUAGUACCUUUCCUACCGAACCGGAUCAGACCAAACGUGCCUAAUGUUGAUUACGCUAACCGGCUAAUACGUAAUUUGGGUUUUUUUUUACUACCUUUUUUCCCUAAGAUUUUUCUAAACAAGUUUAAGAGAAACAUUAUUCAUUUUCUCAGUUGAAUGAUUGGUUUUAUAAUAUAUAUUUUUUUUGUGCAAAGAUUGGUUUUAUAUAUCUGAACCUUCAAUCAUGAAACUUUGUUUUUGUUUGUCAGAAAUCAUGAACCUUAACCCCUAAUCCCAACAUCUUAAACCUUAACCAUUCUAUAACCUUUGUCUACCUCAUAAACUCGCAAGAUUUGAACCCUAAACCCAUAUUCUUCAAAUCUAACCAUCAUCACCGCCGGAUCUUAUCCCGACUUAUUCUCACUCUUUGUCGUACACAUAUAAAGAAGUCGCACGAAAAAAAAUGUGAGUGAGAAAAUUUUUUGUCUACUUUUUUUUUUUUAAAUAGUUUGUUUCUACUAACACCUUUAAGAAAUGUGAGAAUUUAUUUAUUUUAUAAGCAAAGUUUCUCAACAUUCAAAUCCCCUAAACUAAUUUUAGUUAGUCAAAUGGAAAACAAUAAAAUCAUGUCUUAAAACUUUUGGAUCUAAAUACCGUAACCUCUUGAAUUAAACUCUUGAUGUUGCAGACUCUUGGGGAGAAUGUGAGUUUCGUGUGGUGGCGCUUUUAGCCUUCUUCGAUUGCUAAAAGUGUGACAAAGGAUGGUCGGUUUCAUCUAUAUAUAUGGCACUUUGAAGGCCAACGGCCUGGCUCCACGAUCAAGUGUGAAAUGAAGCAAAUUAUUGAAUUUCUUUUAUUUUGUUCUAGUUUAUGUUAUCUCGGUUUUUCGAAUUUUAUUCGGAUAUAAUUUUUUUAUGAGCAGAUGAAAUUUUAAUUAAAAUUUGAUCCAGAUAUAGUAGUACUAUCAAAAGAAGCUCAACUAUAUGACAAGGAGGUAUAUGCUUCGGUUUGAGCCUUGGAGACUUGGCAACAUUAACAGAUUCGGCAAAUGGUCUCAUGAUGUCCAGAUAAACAAUCUGAACAUUCAUAUUAGAUGAAAAAGUAAAUAAGUAAAAACAAAAAAAAAGUAAAAUACUAUGAUUGAGCAAAUCAGCUGAUAUCUUCUUAUAUAGACUUUUCCUAGUAAUGAGGCAAAGUAGUAUAAUUCAUAAAUUAUACCUAGGAAGUCUAGUUCUCUUGGAGCUUCCUUGCACCAUUCAAUAUUCAUCUAUCAUGGGGCUAAAAUUGUACUGUGCAUGGUUCUGCCCACGCAAUCCAAUCAACAAUGGACUUUGCAUUCUUUCUUUUUUUUUUUUUUUGUCGUCUAAAGAUCUUUAUUAAUGUAAGGUAACCAAAAACCAUCAAAACAAAACAUCCAAAAUCAAAAAACAGAGCCCCACAUAACAGAGCAUUCAUAGUAUGAAAAUCUUUCCAUCUAAAUCAUCUUCUCUUUUCCGCUUCAAGCCGUGAAUGUAACCAAGCCGGACCACCACGAGCUAGAUAUGAUCGCACACGACCGUCUCUUGUGACACUCAUAGCUAUAUCUUUUGCGAUUGAAUUAGCUUUUGGAGAAGACACCUUGAACACUAUUUUACCAAAGUUUGAUAUCACCCGAUGAAUCCUAUCAAGAUAGGAAAGAUAUCUUGGCCAGUUUGAAGGAUCAAGAAUAGCUGAAAUAGCAGCAUUACAGUCGGAACAGAUCUCAAUGUUGUCCAAUGCAACGCUGAAAGACUAUCCAAAACCCAUAGAAUACCUCUUAACUCCGCAGCAAUACAAUUAAUUACGGGCAUAAACAUGUCUCUCGCAUGGAACACUGCAUCUCCUUAGUGAUUCCUUACUAUCCAUACUCCACCACAUAUGAGACUCAUUUAACCAAGAAACAUGGAUAAUUUACAGUGUAAUAUAGCCAUGGAUAUUGGAGAUCAGAGUGCAUACCAUGAGCUUGUAAACACACCGAGACUGCUAGUGCACCAGAUAAAGCCCUCCAUAAAAAUAUUUUGAUCUUAGGUACAGUUUUAACAGUCCAAAUCUUCUCUUUAAGAACUCUAGACUCUUGUUCCUGAGCAGAUAAUGGUGUAGACACAGUUUGCACGUUGGACAACAACCAAUUGCCACUCUUAACCGUGUAACACCCAGACCGAUUAUAAGCCCAAAUGUAACUGUCAGCCACGGCUAUAUUUGGAGGAUACGACAUAAUUCUAACAAUAUCCGGUGGGAAAAACAGUUCCAUUAGAAGAUGAUGAUUCCAAGAGCCUUGGGGGGUAAUAAGGUUUGAAACCCAUAAAUCUAAAUCAUACAGAGACUGUUUGUUGAAAGGACGACACGGAGCAUUAUCGAAUAUCCAUUUAUCGGUCCAUACACUCGUCGUUUGACCAUUACCUAUGUUCUUUAUGAGACCUUUUCCAAGCGAUUCUCGACCAUGAAUGAUGUUGCGCCACACAUAAGAAGGUCUAGAACCGACCACAACAUCCAUAAAACCCUUCCGGUGAUAAUAGCGUGCUUUAUAUAAUUUGGUUUUGUGAGAAGUCUCCAAGCUUGUUUUGCGAGUAGCGCUUGAUUAAAAUCACCAACUGCACGGUAACUUAACCCACCUUGUUUCCUUGUUUUACACAUCUUUAUAGCAACAGUAUUCAAAGAUAUUGAUAAAUUUGAUGCACGGAAACCCGAAACUUGAUGCCUUUAUAGCAACAGUAUUCAAAGAUAUUGAUAAAUUUAAGGAUCAGAGGAGGUGAAGUCUCAACAUAUUUUCCUUUUACAACUCCACAUUUUCAGAGAAAAGUUACUUAUCAUGAGAGAUUCCUGAUGUUGUUGUGCCUUUCGUUUUUGGUUUGGGAAUUGGCUUUCCAUGGAGACAACAAGGCCCAUGAUAAUAAGGUCAGAAACUCCAAAGUAUGUAACACACUAACUUAAGCAGAACUAAUGCUUCUAUGGUGACAAUGAUUUGUACAUCAUUGUAAUUCGGUUGGUUGCCUAUGGUGGAUUUCUUAAUCAGAGUUGUUAAUUGGUUUAGCAGAUACUCUUAUUCUUCACACUGGAUAUGUGAUUUGUUAAAAAUGUUGCACAUGAAACGAAAUAGAUAAAGAAAAGAAAAGGAGUAACUUAUUUACUGAAAACCUGCAAAAACCAACGACAAGCAAAAUUCAAUCCUGAAACUUAACUGGGACAAGGCUUAAAAGGUAUCAAAGUAUAGCCUAACAUAGAUAGAAAAAAAGAAGCAAGUUUCAUUCAAAACACAUGAGAAUGAAUACUCAAAACAAAGAUCAUUAGUCAUUACUGACAGAAGCAGCACUCCACAACCUUAGAAAUGAUCAAUACCGCAAGAAGAAAGACAAAGCCGCCCACAGCCCACAUAGAAGCCUCAAACCCCACAUAAAUAAGAGACUCCACGGUGGCCCCCAACCUUAAAUUACAGCUACAAUCUACUACAAAACCUAAUGUAAUUUUUUUUAAAAGAAUGAACUACCUCAAAAAGAAUUUACCAUGUAAUCUAAUUAAACAAAUUAAAAUAAUUAAUAAUAUCUUAAUAAAAUAAUUAGCUUAAAUCAUUAAAACCCCAAAAUGGAAUUAAUUGUGGGGACCAUUACUUGUCUCCUUUACGUGUCCCUCUUAGAUAAUUAAAAACCCAAAAUGGAAUUAGUGUAUUCCUUUUUCGAGGGAAAAACGAACAAAAAAACAUAACAAAAAUAAGUUUAACCAAAAUAAAUAAUAAUAGAGCUUCAGAACUUCCAAAAUGUUUUCCGCCUUUAUAUUCAAAAUAAUAGAGCUGUACAAUAAAUCACCAUAACUUUUGUCAAAUUCCUACAAAAUAGAAGACUUCAAAUCAUGAAAAAAAACUGACAGAUAACUCAAAUAAAAUAUUAAAAAUGAAGUAUUUACUUGUAGCACUUGUGAGAAAAAUGGCCAUGUCUAUAAGGUCGGAUUUGGUGGCAGCGACAUUUAACUGGCUAUCGGGAAUAAGAGUUGAACGUACAUAAUUUGAACAUAAGUCAAAAUAUUUUUUAUUCUUACAUCAAAAUUUCUUAGUUUGAAAAUUUCUUACGUUUUCUUGUUCAUCUUCCAUUUAGAAAGAAGGAAUAUAAUAUUAAAAUAAAAUAAAAUGAUAGACGAAGAAAACUAAAGAGAGACACGUGAAAGAGACGAUUAAUGAUCUUCAUAGUUAAUUUAAUUUUGAGUUUUUUAAUGAUUUAACAUAAUAUUUUUUAUUUAGAUAAUAUUAGUUAUUUUAAUUUUUUAAUUAGAUUACAUGACAAAUUCUGAUUAGUUAAUUAAGAGGCCCAACACCGGCGUGAAGCAAUUCAAAAGAGAGAGGACCCAUUAGACCAUCGGUAAAAGCUCCCUAAAUACAACCCAUUGUGGUGACUACGGCGGCAACUUCUGUUUUGACAACUAAGACUUGAAACCAGUUUCAAUCUCCUUGAAUUUGACUUGAAACUGUUGAAUUGGAUUCUGUUGAUCCUUCAUUAAGCUCAUCAUCGCCAUUGUUUCUUCCUCUUGUCUCCUUCUCCGUUCUUUCCCCAUUUGUCUCUCUUCUUAAUCUUAAUUUGUCACACUUUUCUUCUUUCUCCUUAUCUCCCUCCUUUUUGCCGUUUCCGAAUUUCUACGAUGUAUUGAUUGGGCCAUCUUAAUAGGCACAUAGGAUGGUAUUAGAUUACUUUACUGGCCCAAAAGAUAAUAGCUACAUGUUUUUUUUUUAAAUGUUAGAGUAUGUUGUUUUUGUAGAUGCCAACGACCAUCUAUCUUUAAUUCAUUUUACAAGUUUGUAUUCAGCCCUAAAAUCUGUAACAAAAUCUUAUGAUAAAACCUUAACAUAGUUAUAUAUAUAUCUAAAACAAAUGAUGGUAGCUUUAAACAAAAAAAAAAACAAAUGAUGGUAGCAUAUCUUUUUAGAAAAACCUAAUAAAACUUUAACAUAAUUCUAUAUAUACCCUAUAAAUUCUCCUAUAGACAAAAUAUCCUCUGUAGCACAAAGGUUUAAAUUAAAUUCAAUCUUCCAUUUUCGGGUUCAAAGCUCGGCAGCGGAAUGGAUGUUUCUAGUGUCCGUUUAUGUUUAGGUGUAGGGUUUAGGAUUUGGUUCUUGAAUCUCUUAUGUAUGACAGACAAUUUAAUAUUUGGUUUGUUUUCCCUAUUAGUAUCUUGAAUUCCAAACAAUGUCCUUGCUAGUCAUUAGUCUGCCUUGCUACACUUGAUAUUCAAGUAUUUUCAGUGUAAAAAAACUUUGACAGAUUUAAAGGUAAAAUGGACCAAAAAGACAACAAAAAAUCGUUUCAUAAUAGUUUCGAAGCUUCCAAAUUUUGACAUCCGUUGAAAGCCUUCCGAAGCACCAAAUCAAAAUAUCUUGAACGCUAUGGAAAGCUAGAAUAGUCAUGAUUCGCCUUGAAGUCAUCUUUGCAGAUGAGGACUUGGGCAAUGGAUUCUAUUCAUAGUCUCAAGAUGAAUAGGGUCAUCUUUGCAUCUGAGGCACAUGAUAUUUCCGGGGCUAUUGCAAGACUUAAAGCAUGGCUGUCUUUCACUCAACAAGUAAUGGAGAUUAGCCAUUUUUAGGAUAAGCUUAAAGAUUGGAGGCUGGAGGUGGAAAGUGCUUACUCAAAUAGAAGCUCUUCUCUCAUUGCGCAAAGUGUUAUUUCUAAUGCAAGAUUUCAAGACUAUGUAGCUACGGGUCAUCAUUGGUGGUUACAUAGCUAGGGUUUUUGAAGACGAGAGACUUGCCUCUAUUGCUAUUUGAUGUUCCUUUCAGUGGUCUUUUGCUUUGACUAAGUUUUUGGAUAUUUGGAGGAGUUAAUUCGUUUCCCUAAGCUAGUUUCAUCUUGAAUAUUCUUCAAGAUUGGUUUGUAAUGGUUGCUUACCAUUUCUAAUAAAUUUAUCCAAGACGGAAAAAAACAAAAAACAAAAAUUAGUACGGAAAAAACAAGUAUAUAACAAAGAGCUGUGUAUAAGCCUUGGUUUGAGCCUUGGAGACUGGCAACAUUAAUAGUAGAAAAGGAAAGUAACGUUCUUUUGUGGUUGCCAACAAUCAGUAUGCAUUGAUCACCAUCACUUGAUGUAAGCUUUACGUUGUAUAUGACGAUGCUCAUCCAAACAUUCGGUUGCUGCCUGAAACACACACCUCUUCUCUAAGCACUCUCACAGCUUCUGUGACUCCAUCCUGAAAUCAUCAAUUUUUUGGAUACCCUAAAACUAUCAGUUGCCACAAAAUACUCAAACUAUGAAAUAGAACACUCCAUGGGAAGAAAUGAUAAUAAACUGAUCGUAACUGGUUACCUCAAGAGAUAAUAUUUCAGCAAUUUCCAUCGCACAAGCCCUACUUUUUGCAGACAGUGCAUCGUAUAUGGCUUUUGCUACCACUUGUGCAGCUUCCAUGAUGUUUUCAUCAUUUGGUUCCUCUAGAAGCAGGUGGUUUCUUUUCAAUGGUUGAGGAGCAACUCCAAGCCAAGACAUCUUUUCUGCCCAAUAGAACUGAUCCAGCAUAAAUGGGCAUAUGAUCUGUAGAAAGGCAUACACACACAUUAUGUGGUCACUUUUUGGCAUUACAACUUGAAAUUGAUAAAGCUUUAAGAACGUCAAUCAUCAUUUGUAACCAAGCAGUGCACAAAACUAUGGUUUAUGAGCAAGUACUAGUAAAGUUUGUAGCAGAGUAAUCAUAUAUCAUACAUUUUUGAAGGACCAUGACAUGUUCUUCUGAUGUACUAGUUACUGUACAGCUAAAUUUCUACUGAUCCUUCUAGACAAACAAUUACUUUUACCAUUAUAUAUCAAAGAUCUAAUAAACUAACAUACAAACACAAACCUGCGGGAUUCCAGCCUGUAAUGCUGCAGCAACAGAACCGCUGAUUUCCAAAGGGGACAAAAUUCAUAUAGAAAGACAAGCAAAAAUCAGUUUACGUGUAUUUAUAUGUGUCCAUGUUCACCAGGAAAUGGUAUCCAGCUGACAUUUUCACCUGCCACCAUGAUGAAUUGCUGCAGCGCAUCUUUGAAACAUCCACUUGUAUGGCACCAUACUAAUUCAGAGAGACAAAAAAUUAAGUAGGUUAUAUGGUCACAGUGUAAUGUAGGUUUUGUCAUGUCCAAAUACAAUGAUCUUUUAUUGUAAAUAAUGGCCAACUAAAUAUUGGGCAAAUUUGUGCUCACCCAGGGAAACAGAAAAGCUUGCCGUUGAAAAUAGAGAUUCCUGCAUGUAACGGUUGUUUCUCACUUGAAUCUGAUCUAUUAGCAAUGGUCCAAAUUGCUGCAUCUAAAGGUCCAUAACCUGCUGUGAAAAUGAUAAAUCUGUAACCUGUAAUCUGGAUAACAGAUUGGAGAACUCGAAGAAAGGCUAUGGGAUCCCUUACAAAGCCCAUGCUGCAAAAGCAAAGAGAAAAGUUACUACCGUACACUAAUUCAGCAUGGGUUAUAUAAUAUUUGAUAGAAUAAGUCUCAGUCUUCUUCUGAAACAAAAGGUGUUGAAAACAUAAUCAGAAAUGAUUCAGGGGGAUCAACUUAAAUUUAGACCUUCCAACAGAACUCAACCCUACAAAGAUAGGCAGUUCUGGCUCACAAGACGAUAUAAAAGUAUACAACUCAGAGUGGUUUGAGCAUGUAUGGGAAUCGUCUGUACCCAGGCGCCCUGUAAAAGGAUUGUCUCCACACUUGUUGCAUGAAAACUGCCAUUCAUUGGGCAGAAACCAAAAGCCGCAAACUCGAACGCUCAAGGGCCAGUAAUCUGUUAAUAAGAAUAAAUGAAUGCAGUGAAACGCAGAGAACGAAGCUUUUUCAAAUCAAUGACGAUUUACACUGAGAUUUUAUAAUGUGUUCCAAGGAGUCAAGGAAUAAAAACAACUGCGCGUCAAACAAGAUUCAUCUUUAACUAUGAAUCUGUUACAUUCAAUUAGUUUCUACCCCUUUCUAUCAAAUGUAAAACAGACAUCCUUUUAAAGUUGGGUCUGUUUUAACCUUUUUCUUCUCUGGUAUAAAGUUCCAAUCACAUAUUUUCUCAAGAAUUUAUAAAUGGUAAGAAUAUAGCUGCAAAAUAUACCCAAAAGAAAGAAGAAUAAAACUACUACCCAGAUAACUUUUUUUAAAGAAGAUGCUAGCAAAGCACAGAAAAAUAUUUGGUAGACGCGACAAAUAUCCGACAUACCAGGGCAUUCGACGAUUUCUUUGCUGAAACCAUACCUGUCACAAGGAAAAUACGUAACAGGUCACUUACAAACUUAUGCAGUUUCAUCUGGGUUUUACAACUAAAUUACUUAAAUUUCAAAGUUCUUAGUAUUUAAUCAGAUAUCAGCCAGUGUUGGACAUAAAGUGAGAAAGUACAUUAAAUAGAUCAAGUAACCAAAAAAUACUUAGUAUAUGAAGAUAAAAUCGUGAUGGCAAGAUAGAUUGCAAAGUUGAUCAGCUUUUACCACCAAGUAAAUUCACAACUCACAAGACCAAGGGAGAUGGCGGCCGGCUACGCCAAAUUGGAAGGUCUGUUACUGGAUCCUGCAUCCAAUGAGUAAAUCGGGUGACAGUUCACACUAUCAUUUUUCACAAUAAAAUGUAACAUUCUAGGUCUCUAUGUUUAGAAAAUACAUACUGCAAAAGGGUAACAACUUAGGUUGAGUUCCUCGUAGCGCCACGAUCCCCAUUCUUCAGUAAAAAGAGGCCACAUCCAAUGAGUUACAUCACUCCAGCUAACCUGCAAAAACACAGACACUAGAAUGUUUCAGGAGAAAAUAACACCAAUUGCAUGUUUGUAUCACAAUCAUAUGGAAUACCUUGCCGAUGGGGGCUUCUUUCAAGUACUUGUACAAAUCUGGGAGUUCCUUCCUAAACUGUCUUUCAAAGCCUGAUGGUGGACUGUACAAAAGAAGAAUUGCAAGUGAUCAUCUUCCAUUUCCAGGAUGUCACACUCAUACUUGUAAGCUACAAAGUUACCUAUACGGAACAACAUAAGGAGCCGCUACCACACAAGGGAUUUGGAAAAGUUCUGCAAGGCUCCAUCCUUCCUAAAUGCACAAUCAGAUGAACCACAGUUAGUAACUCGAGAUAAAGCAGACACAAUCAAUCCUGGUACAAAGGAGAGAGUAUUAAGCAGAUGUACCAAUGCAAAGAAAUUUAUGACAACGAAAUCACCCUCCAUACAAGGACCCUUUCCGAAAAUGCUUUUGAAUGCAGAAUGACACUCUUCUCUGUGUUCCCUUUUUAUCCUUUCUUUUUCCUCCAAAAAUAGUUUCUCUGAUUGAAACCAGAAUUGAUGAAUGGUUAAAGCUAAGUAAGAAGAAGAAAACCAUAUUUGAAGAAGAAACUAAAAUCAGAGUAUUGACCUGCGGCGUUUUGAGUACCCUGAGGUUCACUAGACAGGGCAGGAGGAGAAUUGAUAGGAAGAUAGGAAACGUUUGCUUUGUUCAAGUGAGAGCUUAGGUUCUGCAACAAAUCAACCUCUAUAUCUUUGAUUCGAGAACGUAGUUUCUGCAAGUCGAGAACUUUAUGAGAAGAAGAAGAAGAAAAAACCAAACCUCAUGAGCCAAAUGUGACAUCAAAACCACAGAGUAGUGUUGCUGAACACGAGCGAAAGCUGCAGCAAUGGCCUGCAAAAACAAAAAACCUUCUUUGGUCUCGCUUCCUAAGCCAGACCCCAAUUAUGAAUCGAGAUACUGAGAGUAGAGACAGAGAGAAUACAGCGAGAGGGUAGACAUCGCCUUUGGUACCGAAAGCCAUGAAGAGAGCGAUGGCUUUCCUUCUCUCCGGUUCCUCCUCCAUGGUGCUCAAAUGCUCCGAUGAAGUGACAGAGCGAUCACCAGUGAAGUGCGUUUGCAACAUUUAAAGGUGCGUUGAAAAACAUUAGAAUCGCGUUUUAAAGACGGUUGCGUCUCACAACCCGCAAAUCCUGCGUUUUUGCGGGAUGUUGCGGUCGCUAGCGUUUAAAACCAAUCAUAGCAAUCAUUUAAAGCAUUCCAGACAGCUCUAUACCGUUCAAAAUUACUGAAUUUCAAAAGCUCUUUUCCGUAAACGUUUGAGGUUGCGGAGGAUCACAAACGGAUGCGGGCAGUAGCGAUUCGAAAAAAAAAAAAAACAAAUAAAUUUCCUUAAAAAUAUUAUCAAACCCUAUAUACUAGUAUAUAUUAACGUUAAUUCUCAAAAUCAUGGCGUCAAACCAAACUGAAGACAAAAGAAAAAGUUUUGACAAUUUUGAUCUGCCAAAAAAAAGUUUUGGUUUGCAAAAUGUAUAUACUUGAAACACUGCUAUCAAUUUAAGAUCGAUGUCCUUGGUUCUAGUCUUCUAGACACUCGUUUGUAUCAUCAUGUCGCAAUCCACUUUUGAUGACAAAAAAAGAGUCUCAUAGCUCUAUAGAAGAAAACCAUCACUUUUGUUUUAUACAACAAUCAGAUAAUGAAAUCGAUCUCAGCUGUAGAAUGUACACAUCUCUUGUUAAUCUUUUUUCGGAGACAUUACUUUGGCAUGUGAAGAACACAACGCAGACACUUUCCAUCUCUCAUGAGAUCAAAAGCUUUGUUGAUUUCAUCAAACACCAGGUUAUGCGUAACCAAUUCAUCGAUCAUAAUCUCCUGCGCCACGGAAGAGUGAAAAUGUAAACAAACUGUUUCAUCCACUAAAAGUGAUUUUGCUAAUGUAGCUGCACGCUUAUAUACCUUGUUCAUGUACUUUUCAAUGAGUGAAGGAAGAUCAGAUUUAGGCUUCCAACCACCAAAUAGAGUCCCUUUUAAAGAUUUUCCAGAAAGGAAAAGUCCGUAAUGAGCUGAAACUUCAGGCUUCACUUUCGGUACACCUAGAGUAACCGUCAUUCCCCAUCCCUGAGAUAUUCACAUUGAAAAGGUUUCAAAAAGGCAUUUGUAUACAAUAUAGUUACAAGGUGGGAACAAAUAGAACUGAAAUCUUACAUCCGAGCACGAUUGUAAAGCAGUUGUAGCUAUUCCUGUGUCACCAACACAUUCAAAUGAGAAAUCCGCACCUCCUCCAGUCAUUCUUUUGAUCACCUAAAAUCCCAACGCAUCAGUAUAAUUUUCUACACCGCCGAUUCCAAUGUCUUUAGUUAUUGCUAUGAUAAGCACAAACCGGAGAUACUGAAAUUACCUGGGGUAUAGGUUCAGAGAGGUCAUUUGAAUUGAUGAAAUCCGUGACGCCAAAUGUCUUUGCUGCAACAAAUAAGAAACACUCAAAACCAGUCCAGAAACGUGUUAUAUCUUAAUGAUGAUAUACCUUGUUCAGCCUUAGCUGGAUUUAUAUCAACCCCAAUUAUUUGAGCUGCUCCUCUGAGUUUGGCACCUUGAGCAACCUACUCAUAAGAGAUUAAUCCCACAUCAGACUCCAUUAGCACAAAAGCAUCAAAACUUCUGUAUCUAUACUUACCGAAAGACCGACAGUUCCAAGACCAAAUAUCACAACACUUGAACCUUUUUGUACAUCAGCAACAUUCCACGCUGCACCAAGACCUAAAAUUACACCCAAUAUUCUCAGUAUUGACUGUAAAUAACUAUUAGAAUUUAAUCAUUUUAAGAUAUUAUUUUUAACUACCUGCAGCUACUCCACAGCUUAGCAGACAAAUUUUGUGCAGAGGUGCAACAGGAUCGACUUUGACAGCACAGCCAGAGUGAACCACAGUGUAUUCGCUGAAACUUGAAACCGCGCAGUAAUGGUAAACAGGUUUGCCUUUGAUGGUGAAGCGUGUCUUCUGAUCACUAUGCAUCAAACCUUUCCUCUCCAUUCCAAGAACCUGACACAUAUUACUUUUCCCAGAGAUGCAAUGCCGACAUGACCCACAUUCUCCAGUGAAUACAGCGAGCACAUGAUCUCCUUUCUCAAACUCGGUUACACCUUCUCCAAUGCUCUCUACUAUACUGCAGUAACAUCCAUAGACACGAUGCUAGGAUUCAAACCAGUAAACUCUUUCUUUACUCAAUUCACAAAGAAGUACACCUUAGAAGCUACUAUUAACUAUAAAAUUCUCUAACUCUCGACUGAUGCCGCAAUGCCUAAACCAAGACUCUAGACAAAUCCAGAAUGUCCCCCAGCACAGUCUCUUCGCUCUUCUAUAAACCAUCACCUCUCAAUUAACUGGUAAGGUUUGAUCCUAAGCUGACCAAGCUAAUUACAAUAGUCCUAUACUAAACACCGCAACAACGCUGCUAAAUCACACACUAAGAACAACAUUAGAGCACUCAAUACCUUAUCACAUUCUACAUAUCCGAAAUGAAGCUAAUUUUCUUAACUUGUUCCUAUGCUUGCCUAAUCUAAAAAAUGAGGUUAUAGACAAAAUGUAACGUACCCUGCAGCUUCAUGGCCAAAUAUUCGAGGCAAAAGAGACUGUACCAACAAAUGGAGACUUCAUCAGAGACACAUACUUAUAAAGCCAGACUCAUUAACAGGUUAUAUAGUAAAGAAGAGAAACUACAAACCUGAGCUUCCCAAGCAGAAAGAUCACUACGACAGAGAGAUGUACAUACAACUUUAAUUCUGAUCUCAAGAGGUUGAGGUGGACUCACUUCAACUUCCUCCAUAACCAAUGGCUCACCAGCACGCCAUGCCACCGCCGCUACAGAAUUUCUCAAUCAAAAAACCUAAUCUUUCAUCAACGAGAACAAAAACAAAAACCCUUUUUUUACCUUUGCAGGUUAUGACUUGAGGUUGUUCGAAGGAAGAAGAAGAAGAAGACGACAUCGUUAUCCCAAAUUUUCUUGCUUCAAGCACAAAAUGAAGAAACCUGAAGAAGAAGACGAAGAAACAGAGCUUCUUCACCUAACACCGAUCCUGAAGAGGAAGAAACAGAGGUUCUUCACCUAACACCGAAAUCACCAACCACCAUUGAGCUUAAGUGAUCCAAGAAAAAAUUAAAAAUGGUGAUUUUACAGCUUUAGAGGUCCCACGUUAGAUGCAAGUUAUUCUCGCCACCAACCUUUCGUUAAUUAAUCAUACUAAUCUUGCAAUGGAUUCAAACAUUUCUACUUUAGUUUCUUCUGCGUUCGACAUUCUGGUGGAAUUUGUCACGCCGUAAUUACAAGAAAAAAGAAGAAAAAAAACGAUGACAUGAGUGAUAUGGGAGAGCAAUUUUUGGGUUAGCUAAGGCAGACAGAGAGAAGAAUAUUAUUGGGCUUAUAGUGGGCUCGUUUGGGCUUAUCUUACUUCAUAAUGUUCAUGAUAGGUUAAAUUAAAAAACCGAAUAGCCUAUAUUAUGAAUGAAUAUUCUCACACCCUAGCACAUUGUUAAUUGUCUUGUAUAUUCUUUUUUUUUUUUUCUUUUUUUUGCUAUGGAUAUAAAUAUCAUUAAGGGUCUAACUGGUUUAAACGCAGCGGUUGCGGUUGCGGUUGCGGGAGUUUGCAGAAGCGGGCGGUUGCGGUUUCAAGCGUUACCAAGCGUUUUGAACGACUGGUUUAGCGUUUGAAAAUGGAUGCGUUUUCGGGAGUUUUAUGACUGGUAAAUCAGCGGUUGCGGUAGCAGUUAAAUAAAAAAAUGACCAAAAAAAUAAAAAAAAUAUUACAAAAAAAGAAAUAAAAAUACUAAUAUAUUAUUAUGAUAAUAUUAGAAAAAUUGAACAUGCUUAAUAAUUGAAACCAUAAAUAAAGUACUAAAUAGUUAUUCAAAAUAAAGAAAUUUUGUAAUAAGAUAGUAUUUUAUACUGGGUUAACACCAAAAAUUGCAUCAAGUAAUGAGGCAAACUGUAAAUAACGUUGAAUUCAAUCAAAAAGCAAGUGAUUUUCUAUUCGAGAAAAUAAAUCGAAACAUAUAUUCAAUCAAAAAGCAAAGCAAUACAUAAUGAAAAAAAAAAAAAGAUGCUAAGAAAAAUAUUCAAAGAGUUACACAUGAGGUGAUGAAUGAAUAAAAUGAUAUAUGAUACUUACGUUUGGUUCUUGAUUUUCAUCAGUUUGAGUGGAAGACAUUGAGAAAAUAAAAUUUUAGAAUAUUGAUUAGGGUUUAUGAUGAGAACGUGAUACAAAGAUGAAAGAUACAUAUAUGAUAAAUAUAUUUUAUAAUAAUUAUAAGUAAAGGUUUGUUUGUUUGUUUUUUUUUUUUUUUAAAAUCCAACCGCUAUCGCCCGCAACCGCAAACGCUUGCGGGAAGGAACUUUUGAAAUUCAGCGAUUUCGAGCGGUUUAAAGCAGUAUGGAGCGGUUUCUAUGAUUGGUACCAACCGCUAACAACCGCAACCGACCGCUAGCAACCGCUAGGAGGGUGCUAGCGGAAAAACCAAUCAAGUCCUAAGAAAUGAAAAGUUUAGGUAUUAAAAAAGAUCAUUUUACCUAUAUAUUUGAGAUCUUGGCAAAAAAGAAUAAAAACAAAGUAACAAAUGAUUUGGGUACAAUAUGGGAGAGCUUACUAUAACUAUUCUUUUACUUAAAAAAAAAAAUAAUGUUUUCAUAUUUUUUUUUUCUUUAACAACUUUUCCAUUGAUACAGUCAUACAGACCCAACUAAAAAAAAGAAGACGAAUUACAAGGAGAAUUGGAGAAACAGACUUCCACAUUUGCCACCAUUUUUUUUUCAUAGUUUGUUUCAAAAGAGAGAGGUCCGGACUCUGGAGGCAUUAAUUAGUUGAUGAGGAGAAAGGCCAGCCACGAAAACCUCUUAGAGCAUCAUUAUAGAUAGUUUCUUAGAGAUAGAUCUUAGUAAUAUUUAAAUAAUUUAUUUGUAAAAGUGAUUAUUAAGAGAUAGUAUUUUUGAGUUAAGAUUUUUGUGUGAUUAAUAGUAGGCUCUUAACAUGUGGUUCUUAGAAAAACAAAUAUUAAUAUAAAAAUAAAAUUUAUAAUUAUAGAAAAUUUAAUAAUUGUUGCAAAUUAAAAAAAAUAAAACAUACAUGAGAUACAAUUCAUAACAUAAAUCACAAAUAUUUUAAACUUAAUUUCUUCUAUAUUUUGUCCAUAUAUGUUCGACCAAAUCAUUUUUCAAUUGUUGAUGCAUACCUCGAUCACGAACUCGAGCUCUAUUAUCGAAGAAAUUAGAAGGCGUAUCUGUAGAAUAUGUGAAAUCCGCUCAAUCAAAACGUGACACGUGACACCUCUUAGGUAUUAAAGUGAUUUAAAUUAAAUAGUUAGUACCUUAAUAAGCUAAGGAACGUUCCUUAGCUUAUUAAGGUAUUAACUAUUUAAUUUAAAUCAUUUUAAUACCUAAGAUUCAGCUAACAUCCCCCCUAUAAUGAUGUUCUUAGGACUGAAUAUGAUAAAGCCUAUAAAACAAAGAGCUACUAUCAUUUCUUCAUAGAUUGAGAUCUUCUUGGAACUUAAUGCUAUCUUUCAAAACGUCUCAAAUACCUUAGUACAUCUCUAAUGAUUACGAUCAUUUUUUCAUUCUAAACGAUUACACUAAAAUGAGUUUUUCAAAAAUAAUAAUAUUUCAAGUAUAUUCUCACUUACUAUUUUUUUUUAAUUUUUAAAAACACCAUUUAAUUUUUAAUAGUCCCAUAUAUUGAGAAAAAAGAAACAUAAAAAAAUUAGGGAAAUUAUUUUCCAAUGGUACAUCAUUUUGAAAAGAAAAGGAUUAGUUUGAUGUAUUAAUUUAAUAUUCACAAUUUUACUUUUUCCUAGAAAAUGAUGUAAGUAAAAAAAAAAUCCUCAUUUUUUAAAUAUUUCCUCUCAAAAUAAGGGACCAAAAGACAUGGUUUUAAUUGUUAGAUCAUGCAAACCACAAAAAUUAUAAUUUCCUAGGCUCCUAGCUACUUGAACAAAUUGAAUCGUUGUUAAAUUGUUUAUUCAUUAAUUUAUUUUGACCAUGAUUUGAGUAAUUGGCUCAUCGCGUUGGUACUUAAUCGGGUGAUAAAUUGAUAAUGAUACGAUGAAAGACAAUCUCACUUCAAUUACGCAGAAAAUGGACAACGAUCAAUAGAAACAGAGUCACAUGCAGUCAUAUAAUACCACAGAGGCUGGUCCCAUGCGAUAUAAAUAGAUUACAACAAACACUCGUGUAGAGGCACGUGUUCUAUUUGUUCGUGUCUAGGUUCAACGUAUCUGGCAACCAUAAUAAUAAUAAUAACAACAACAAAAAAUUGGUUUUUUAGUAAUUUGCAAAAUGGUCUUGUAUAUUUUAACUGGUUUGUGAAUUGUGAAUCAAUUUUAACACUACAUGAAUAUCGGGUUUUAAUAGCACUAUACAAUAGCGUUUGUAGUCAUUCUGCUAUUGUUAGAGGACCUCUGAACUUUCAAUAGCGUUUCUACCUUGUUGAAACGCUAUGGAUAGUAUUUCACAAUUUUUACUAUGACGCGGAAGUAUAUUUAAUAGCAUUACCAUAUUAAAACGCUAUUGAAAAGGUUGGGCGCUAAAAAUUUCCCAUUCCCGCUACUACACUUAGAAAUAUUUUUGGGCAUAGUUUCUUUUUCCCCUUAGCUCAUCUUUGUCGACUUUACUCUUCAAUUUUUAGGGUUUCCUCUUUCUCUCCUCUUUGCUAUCUCCGACAGACACAAAACACAAAUUUCCGAAAAAUUUCAACCUCUUUGCUCUCUCCGCAUCUUCCUUAGGUUCUCCCAUCUUCCUUGUAUGCUCGAUCUGUUUGGGAAUCCCACUAAAUCGAAGGUAAAUCCCACUUAAUCACAAAUUUGUUCUUGAUUUGUAGAGAGAGAGCUGCGAGAUGACGAUUUGGGUUUGGGUUUGGUCGAUUUAGGAAUUUGAGGAUUUAGAAUUUGGGGAUUUAGGGAUUUGAGGAUUUAGGUAGAAUCGCUUACACAUUUGAGACUGUAUCUACAUGUUCUUUGAACUGCUUUGAGCUGCUUUGUGUAUCUUUCACAUCUUCCUUGUUAACUUGAGUCCUAACAAUUUGAAACUAGAUCUGGUCUGACAUUUACUUCAAUGUGCAGGUCGUAGUCGAACCAGUAUCCAAACACAUCACUUGUCCAGAUUGAAGGAGUCAACACCCAAGAGAAGGUAAACAGAGCCAAAUCAAAGACUAAUAAUGAAAUCGAUUUCUUUUAAUUUUUGUUGGAUUAGUAGAUUUAUUGAUUUGAGUUUAAUUGAUUUCUAUUUUUGCUUUUUCUGUUGUAGUUCGAGUUAAUCAGAAGAGAACAAACUCUAUCAGGUAUAUGAUUCUUCUAUCAGAUUACUUGUAUUGUUGUUUUGGCUUUGAAAGUGACUGCCUCUGAAAAUUACUUGUAUGCACAUUUGGUCGGAGCUCUUGUGAAAUGGAUAAAGCUUGGGUUUGGUUGCCAAGGUAUUAACUUGUUCUUACAUAUAUGCAUUGAUUUCAUUUUAUGAUUGACUGUUCUCAGUUUGUAAUGGGUACUAUUUGUUAACUUGUAGGAAUAACCUUGAGUAUGAAACAGGAGCAACUAAGUUUGUGGUUGAAUCAGCAAGUAAUUUGGGUAAUCCAUCAGAAAUGUUCUGAAAUUCAAGUAAUAUCUGAUGCAGUAGGAAACUGGGUGGCUUGGCCUAACAAGCAUAUUGUAUUCAUGUGAGCAUAAGUUUGUGUCAAAAAACAUUGUUCUAUCUCAUGGUGUAGUACUACUCUUUGUAUGAUCUUUUAAAAUGACAGGUUUUAAAUCCAGUUUUAAUUUUAAGUUUAAUUUAAAGUCUUCAUAAUUUAAAUAUUAUGAAGUACUAAUAUUAUAUAUAAUUACAAUAUUAUAUAUAAUAUUAAAAACAACAAAUAUCAAUUUUUCUAAAUGCUUAACUUUUUAAUAACACACAAAAAACGCUAUUAUAUAAUUUAUAAUAGCAGAAAAGAAAACGCUAUGUUAUAUAAGCAUUUAUAGCAUUACAGAAAAACGCUAUCUAAAGUCACUUACCUAUUAUAGCGGGCGUAUAUACAGCGCUUUCAAAAACGCUAUUAUAUCUUUAGACAGCGUUUUUCAGACGCUUUUAAUACCCGAUAUUCCUGUAGUGUAAUUGGAGUAUUAAAUAGGGUAAUAUUAGUCGAUAGCCAAAUUAGACACAUAAAUUAAGAAACUAGCAGAAAAAAGGUUUUUCUCGGAAAACAGCGAUGGACCCACGUUGUCAGAGGAUGUGAAAUAACAAAACUAUCCUCCGUUUGUUUUGAGAUCAACAGUAGGCAAGAUUGUUUCGUGAUAUUUUUCAAAAUAGCACGUAAGAUCUAAAUUUCACAUAUUAUAUUUAACUAAAAGACAUGAUAUUUCAAAAAACGUAGUGAAUUUUUAAGAAAAAACAUUUUUAUGUAGUGUUUUUUUUUUUUAAAAAACAUUGUUAUAGAAAAAUUAAACUUGAAUAGAAUUUUUUUUUAAAGAAAUAACAUGUAAUCUUAAUAAAAACCGUGAAUUACUAUAAAAUAAGAAUGUUUUUUAAAGAAAUCACAUGUGAUAAUAAUAAAAAACAUGUAUUACUACAAAAUAACAUGAUAGAGAGAUAUUAAACUGAAUAGAGUGUUUUUUUCAAGAAAUACCAUGUGCUCUUUAUAAAUAACGUGUAAUACGACAAAAUCUAUAUUAUUAAUUGGGAAGCAUUGGAUAAUAAAUAACCUUAUAAAGGGUAAAAAAUUACAAAAAAUGCCAUUGGUUUUUAAUGUUUUUAAAUAACUUCAUUAAGGGUACAAUAGUAAUCACAAAAUUAAUAUAUUUAAAUAAAAAAUAGUUUAAUUCUUUUAAAUACUUAUUAAUUUCCAAAAAAUAAACUAAUUUUCUCUCUCUUAUUAAUUAUAAACGAAAAUUUGAAAUUAAUUUUUUAAAAUUGUUAACCAAUAGGAAUUGAAAAACUAAGAUUUGAUAUCCAACUAAGAUUUUUUCUAAACCAAUCCUAAUAGACUAUUCUAUAUCAAAAAUAAAAAUAAAAAUAAUAUCAUUUUAAUUCAAAAUUAAAAAAAAACUAUCAUUUAAAAAGAUUUAUCAAUGGAGGAUUUUAAGAUUGAAUUUGAAAUUUGGUAAAAAAAUUAAAUGCAAAUAUUUUAAUAUUCAGUUUUGUUAUAAUAUUUUUAUUACAAAUUUUGAAAUAUAAAACGAAAUUUUAUUUCAUAAUUUCUAAAAAACCAUAUUAAAUAUUAACAAAUAUUUAUUUUUACUAUGAAAUAAACUCAAAUAAUAAUAAAUUUUAAGUAAUUAUCAUAAUGGUUUUCGUUUAGAGCAAUUUUCGAAAAAAUCUAAACAAUAGAAUGUACAUAUUAAUUUUGAAAUAUUUUGUGUUUUAUUUUUUUCUUUUCAACUCAGAUCUUCCUUAAAUAAUAACUAGAUGCAAAUAUUAUUUAAGGAAGAUUUUAAGAUUGAAUUUGAAAUUUGGUAAAAAAAUUAAAUGCAAAUAUUUUAAUAUUCAGUUUUGUUAUAAUAUUUUUAUUACAAAUUUUGAAAUAUAAAACGAAAUUUUAUUUCAUAAUUUCUAAAAAACCAUAUUAAAUAUUAACAAAUAUUUAUUUUUACUAUGAAAUAAACUCAAAUAAUAAUAAAUUUUAAGUAAUUAUCAUAAUGGUUUUCGUUUAGAGCAAUUUUUGAAAAAAUCUAAACAAUAGAAUGUACAUAUUAAUUUUGAAAUAUUUUGUGUUUUAUUUUUUUCUUUUCAACUCAGAUCUUCCUUAAAUAAAUCCAUAAUAUAUUGCACACAGUUUUUGAAAUUAUGUAAACUAAUUAUAUAUUUUGCAUUCAACACAAAUUAUGCAGCAAUAGCAUAUCCCUUUUAUAGAUGUAUCUAAAACUUUUAUUUUUAGUCCAAAUAUUGAACUAAUUAUGAUUAAACAAUGAAAAGAAGAAUAUGCAAAAUUUAGCUAAGGAAAGAAACAUUAAUAAAUUUGUUAAAAUAUUUGAAACUUUAACAUCAUACAUAUUAAUCCGCAAAACUCACAGUAUGUAUUUUAUGGUAUUUUAAAGUAAGCAAACAAGAAUUUGGAACAUGGUUUUAAUGGAAUGAAAUGAGAAUAAGAAUUACGAGACGGGAUGGCAGGGGAACAUAAAUUAAAAAUCAAACUUAAUACUCAACUGGUAUGAGUUUGUGUUAUGAGCACUAUAUAAAAUAAAUUUGUUUACACACAUAUUAUACGUACGUUUUUAGUUACAAUUUAUGACAGAUACGGGACCGUAAUAUUUUUAUUUCACGUAUACGAGACGGGUUAUGGGACGAAAAAUUUAUGACAUAUACAAGACGGGAUAGGUUUCCUGUUCCAAAAUUGUUACGCCUAGCUAAUAUACAUGAAAUAAUCCAAACUAAACCGAAUAUGUAUCCUAUUUAACACAUGUAAUCAAACUGUUAGAAAUGUUUUGAAUAGUUUAGAAAAUAAAAACGUAACAUCACUUAACUUUUGCAACUAAAUAAUAUCUUAAUUUUAUAUUAAAUACAAUUUCACACGUACGUGUAGGUCCGAAUCUUAAAAUUUAACUAUGCACUAACGCAACUAAAUUUCGUUCAUUGCUCUAACUUUAUAAUAUCUAUAUUAUUACAAAGUUCACUAACACAACAAAAUAUUUUAUAUUUUUAAAAUCUAUAUAACAAUUUCUAAAAAAAAUAUCUCUGCACGUACAUGUGGAUCUAAAUCUAAUACACUAAAAUAUACAUCAUAAAAACAAUAAAAUAAUCUAUAUUGUAUGAAAAUUUGUAAGAAAUGUUUUUGAAAUAUGAAACUCCGCACGUACGUGCGGGUCAGGAUCUAGUAAUAUGAUAAAAGAGAUAUAUUAUUCUAUCACUUAUAAUUCGAGAAAAAAGCAUGUUAUAAAGGGCAUGUACGUAAUUACAUGUGCUUCCCGACAUGAUACCGACAAAUUACUGUAGCGUAUGACUAUUUUCUUAAUUAUCCUCAAAAAUUUGGCUAUUUUGUGCAUAUUUCCUAUUAAAUAACAUUAGAUUUUAAAUAAUAUUUAGAAAUCACUAAACGAAUACCAUUUCAUUUUGACCAACAAUUUAUUUUUUAAUGCAUAUUACGAUGUCAUCAAAAUUUUAAAAUUCUUUAUAUGUUGAUUGAUUUAAGUUCGAUUUAAAAAUUUAAAUCAUAUCAAGAAUAAAUAUAAAAUAAUUACAGUAUUCAUAUAUUAAAUAUAUAUAUAUAUAUAUAUGCAUAUAUUAUGAUUCAAAUUUUUGAAAAGGACAUAAAUUACUCAACAUAUAACAUAAAUAGCGUAUAAAAUUCACACACGUGCAGCUUUGAAAAUUAGUGGUGAUAAUUAAGAGUAUGAUAUUUUAUGUGAUGCAAAGGGUGGUAUUUAUAGUGAAGUGAAGUUAGUUUACUGUGUGGUCUCGUCUUAUGACGAUAAUAUGGGCAACGAGGAGAUAACUCAGAUAAUAAGUGUACGUGAAUGGCUUCGAGUGAUGCAAAUGCUUUCUGGCCCCAUUAUGUUUUAUAACCGAAGAGAUAUUUCACUUACACCACUCGUUUCUUGAGCACGUUGUGACCGUGCUAAAUUUAGAAUUCGGCGUUUUGUUGUUUCAUUUUUAUUAUUAUCGUAGGCUUUUAUUCUUGUGAAUUUUGAACCAGAGUUUCGGUUUACAGAAUACUAAUUCUGUGAAGCUGUUCCACAUUAUUAGCAAAAAAAAUGUUUGUGCCUAUGAUGGACUUGGGUAAUACUUGUGUUGGCGGGAAUACUUUCUUGUAUAAUUGGCAUAUAUAACAAUGAACUACGAGGUAUUGAAAAAAUACGCAUUUGAACCUAAAUAUUUUUAGAAGACGAGUUUAUGUUUUAUAUAAGUGUCAUUUGAUCUUUUUUCUCGUAACAACUUAUUUUUAAUAUAAUAUUAGAGUUUAGUAUUUCGGUGUUAUAUACGACGUUAAGUAAUAAAUUAAAUAUUUACAUAAAAAGUAAUAUGUUACGAAAAAGUAACCAUGUUAUGAAGAAAAAGUAAUAUGUUACGAAAAAGUAACCAUAUUUCCAUAAAACUUAAACAAAACCACAAUCCAAAAAAAAUAUUCAUUAUUUAAUGGCAAUAAUUUAAAUAACUAUAUUUUUUUUUGGUUGGAUAUUUUUUUGUACCAUAUUUACUUUUUGUCGGAUUAUAAAUAUACUUUUCGUGUGCUGAUGAAACCAAAUUAUUUUGCAACAUUAACGAGUGAUUAUACAGUACAAUAAUUAAACGUGUCUUACAACAUGAAGACACAUAUUAAACUUUAAUCUACGAGAUUGUGACAUUCUGCUAUAUAUAUCAUAAACAUAUUUUACAUCUCAUAAUGUAAAACUAUAGCAAUAUUUUUGUUCCAAAUUUUUCAAAAUUCAUUUUUACUUUUAUUUAACUAAUAAGUGCUAAAUUAGUUUCCAAUACAUUCAAUUUUUUUUUUUAUUAACUUCAAAUUGUUACGUAUCAUUUCAUUUCAUGGCCACUUGAUUAAUUAUCCCUAUAAAGAAAAACAACAUUUAGUACGAAGUCUUUGUUCUUAUUAAGUUACGAUAGGAUAGACAUUUUAUUUAUGCAGCGGUGCCUAAACGGCUACAAACAUAAACGGAAAGACAUAGAUAUGCAGUGGAUACAAGGGGACAAAGACAUGAUGAUAGAUGCUUAAGAAGGUACGUAGUAGAGUGGAUUUGGGAGCUUAAAGACCCUUCCAGGAGUAUCCUCAACCAAAUCAGCCCAUUGGUCUCCAAUAUUCCCAACGAUGUUGUAUCCUUUCUUCACCAGGCUCUUCCUCACCUUUGACUUGUACACCACUUCCGGCAAUUUCGAAUGGUUUGGCCUGCGUUGCCAUAUUUAAUUAAUCCUCGAUUAAAUUGCAUAUACAUCAUACUUACUUACUGUAUAUUAUUAAGCUUACUUGAAUAUAAGAUGCUUCCAUUUUGUCACACCAGCAGCCUUGAGAUUAUCGAGAGUGACUUCUGACAACCUCUUCCAUCGGUCAGAGAUUAUGAUGGGUUCAAUCCCGAGUUCUAAGAGGUUCCUGUAUAGAUGCAAAGUCUCCGGGAGUCCUGGAGUUGAUUCUCCGGACCUUAACCACGACCAGUACGCCCCCGGGGCUGUGUUCUGUGUCCUAAGAAUCCCAAAAAAAAAAAAAAACAAAUCUACUUUAAAAUGAAAUCACAAAGUAGAUAUGGACUACAAAAGAAAAACAGUUUGUAUCAAACUAUUUAGAUUUGUCAAAUGAAACGUGUUUUUCCAUAUAUAUAUGACAUUUUCAAAUGAAGAUAAUAUUGUUAAUGCAAUGGAGAUGGUGUAGGUAGAACUAAUAACAAUAAUAUGUAUACCCGUAUCCAUAUUUGGCGUAGUAGGGGAUACUAGAGAGGAGAGUGUCGUCUAUGUCAAAUAUCCAAACAUUGACGGUAUCGUUCUUUAGGGCAAGUCCUUUGGCAUAGAAAUAAGCCUCUUUGCACACCGUUUUGGAGUCAGAUUGAUAUUGUUUGGAAGUGAUCAAGUAGUCUUCAACAUAGUCUUUGCAAUUUGCGGGCACGGUGUCGAAGUCUAUGAUGUUAGAGGUCUCAACACCAAGGUGCCAGCUUCUACAGUUGUGGUAGUUGAUGGAAAGUCCCUCUUUCUCUAAGAGUUCGGCUUCGUCCCCAAAGAUGGUGUUCGAUUCGAGGAGUUCGAUGAGCCCUGGAACGGAAGCCGAAGACCGGACGUGGGAGACCGUAGCUGCCAAGAGAAAGAGAAGUGAAAGUGAGAGGAUUUUCAUGUUUUUUUUUUUGUGGUAUGGUUUAUUGUUUAGUUUGUGAUGUUUAUUUGUGGGACACAAAGGGUGGUAUUUAUAAUGAUGUAGGGUUAGGUAUGGUUACUUAUGACGACAGAUGGGAGAUGAGGCGAUAAGUGUAUGUGUAUUUGGAUUGGUGCAACAAAUGCUACUGGUCCCAUAAUGUUUAUAAUUGACAAUAUUUUUCACUUACACCACUCGUUUUUAGAGCACGUUGAGACUGUGUGCUAAACUAGAAUUUGGCGUUUUGUUGUUUUAUUUUUAAUAUUAUCUUUGGCUUUUGUGCUUGUAAAUUUUGAAUUAGAGUCUCGUUUUAGAGAUCUUACUGUGAAGUUUUUCUACAUUACUAGAAAAAUGUGUGUGAAUAUGUCGAUGUGAGUAAACUUUUUUUUUGGAUAAUUGAUAGAGUAAACUUUUUUUUUUUUGAUAAAUAAUUGAUAGAGUAAUUGGCAAAACCAAUAAUGCAAAACGUGAUAUUCAAUAAACGAGUAAUUGGCAGCAGCCUCCCAGUGAGCAACAAGAGAUAGAUGUGUACUGUGUAGGUUGAAUCAUACGAGAUGAAAUAUGUCGAUAAGAUAAGAAAUGUGAGGUAUACACGUAUAGACGUUUUUUUUUUUUUCUUUUGUCAACAUCUUUUAAUUAAAAUUUAAAAGAAUCAUUCAUGAAGAAUGUUGUUUACAUAAGUAAUAUGAUGCGGUUUGGUAUGAAUUUUUCGUGCCAAAUUAUCCGCUUUUACAUUUGCACUACGAGGGAUUAAAAAUAAAGAGAAGCUUGAAAAUUCUUUCUUGUCGCUCUUGAAAUCUUCCAAAUACACUGCGAAUGCCGGCCAUUCGAUUGGGAAGGACACCAUCUUCACCAGGUCUGAACAGUCUGUAUAAAAAGCUACAUCUUGGGUGUAGUAUCCAAUCAUACACUUCAUUGCCCAGAAAAGAGCUUCCACUUUGGUAUGUAGAGGUGAGAGACUUCUUCGGAUAUUGGCUGCUCCCAUGGUUGGCGUCUCUCCGUUUGGUGAUGUGCAGAACCACCCUGUUCCUGAAUAUUUAUCAGUUUCUUUUCAUGAUCCAUGACAAGUAUAGACGUUAAAUAUUACACCUUUCGUUUUUAUUUAUUUCAUAUUUGGAGAGAAAAAAAAAUCUAUAUAUAAUAGCAAUCUCAAUAAAUGUCUUUUGCAGUUUUGAACGGUUGUGUAUUUUUAUCGCAACUUUCGGCUAAAAUAUUGACGGUUAUUUUUUUUCGAUUGUAUUUUUUUAUCGCAACUCUCGUUAAAAUAUUGACAGUUACUUUUUUUUGUUGACGGUUAUUUUUUCGGUUGUGUCUUCUUAUCGCAAUUUUCCGUUAAAAUAUUGUCGGUAACUUUUUUCAUUUGUGUCUUUUUAUCGCAACUUUCCGUUAAAAUAUUGACGGAUAUUUUUUCUAAGUUGUGUCUUUUUUUAUCGCAUCUUUUCGUUAAAAAAUUGACGGUUAUUUUUCUGGGACAGUUCUAUUUGUUCAAUUAUAAUCAUAUUUUUUUUCAGUUUACGGUUGUGUCUUUAUAGUUGCAUCUAUUCAUUUAAAGUUACGUCUCUUCAAUAUAUUUCAUUGCAUUUUUUCGUCACAACUUUUUGUAUGAAUAGUUGUCUAUUUAAAUGUUCGUGACUUUUGAACUCUAUAUAUUUGUCUUUCUUCUUAAGUAGUUCCCGAAUUUUUGUUCUUUAAAAUAUAUUAUUUGUUUCAUGAUAAAAAAAAAUCUAUAAAAUAGCUUCAAAUUCUUUAUUCUCUAAGCUAUUUUUAAACAUAUAUCAUUUUAAUAUUAAUAAAUUCUUCUCAAGAAGAAUGAUUAUUAAAAUGGAGAAGUUUUAAUCAACUUUAAAUGUAAAAUUCAAAUGAAGAUACCAACAAUAUUUUUCUUAGAAUUGGACGGAUUAUACAGUAAUUUUUUAUUUAACUAUUUUAUAUGGUAACAAUGAUGCUUUCUGAUAUAUCACGGAUUUUACCGAUUUUUAACCGUGAUUUACGUGUCAGUUUUAGAGUUUUUUUGUUGUUUCUAGUGUCUUUUCAAGUCUUUUCAGGUUUUUGCAAGUUCGGGACAAAAUUGGAGGAAAUGAAUCAUUUUGGAGCUAAACAGAAUAUUUGGAGCUGAAGAGACGAAUUCGGAUUCGAACCAAGGCAUUGGUGUCGACCGACACCAUACGCGGUCCAGCAAGAAAUCUCGACGGUUUAGAGUAAUAAAGCCCGCAGAAUUUACCCAUAAGACUUCCCUAUUUGCAAUUUUAGUCCCUGCACGUUUUUGAGACUUUAUAAAUAAUUUUUAAGGUUUUCUAUUUGAUUAUCUUGUCUUUGGCUUUUGUAAUUCUCUGAGCUUGAACCCUUUGGAAGAUAAUUGGAGAGAGCAACUUUUCAGAGAUUUUAUACCUUGUUAGAGAGAAGAUUUAUUCUAAACUCUUUUCUUCUUUUAAUUUCUUAACUAGAUCCUGACCCGCACGUACGUGCGGGGUUUCAUAUUUCAAAAACAUUUCUUACAAAUUUUCAUAUAAUAUAGAUUAUUUUAUUGUUUUUAUGAUGUAUAUUUUAGUGUAUUAGAUCUAGAUCCACAUGUACGUGUAGAGAUAUUUUUUUUAGAAAUUUUUAUAUAGAUUUUAAAAAUAUAAAAUAUUUUGAUGUGUUAGUGAACUUUGUAAUAAUAUAGAUAUUAUAAAGUUAGAAUAAUGAACGAAAUUUAGUUGCGUUAGUGCAUAGUUAUAUUUUAAGAUUCGGACCUACACGUACGUGUGAAAUUGUAUUUAAUAUAAAAUUAAGAUAUUAUUUAGUUGCAAAAGUUAAGUGAUGUUACGUUUUUAUUUUCUAAACUAUUCAAAAUAUUUCUAACAGUUUGAUUACAUGUGUUAAAUAGGAUACAUAUUCGGUUUAGUUUGGAUUAUUUCAUGUAUAUUAGCUAGGCGUAACUAUUUUGGAACAGGAAACCUAUCCCGUCUUGUAUAUUUCAUAAAUUUUUCGUCUCAUAACCCGUCUCGUAUACGUGAAAUAAAAAUAUUAUGGUCUCGUAUCUGUCAUAAAUUGUAACUAAAAACGUACGUAUAAGGUUAUGUGUGUAAACAAAUUUAUUUUAUAUAGUGCUCAUAACACAAACUCAUACCAGUUGAGCAUUAAGUUUGAUUUUUAAUUUAUGUUCUCCUGCCAUCCCGUCUCGUAAUUCUUAUUCUCAUUUCAUUCCAUUAAAACCAUGUUCCAAAUUCUUGUUUGCUUACUUUAAAAUACCAUAAAAUACAUACUGUGAGUUUUGCGGAUUAGUAUGUAUGAUGUUAAAGUUACAAAUAUUUUAACAAAUUUAUUAAUGUUUCUUUCCUAGCUAAAUUUUGCAUAUUCUUCUUUUAAUUGUUUAAUCAUAAUUAGUUCAAUAUUUGGACUAAAAAUAAAAGUUUUAGAUACAUCUAUAAAAGGGAUAUGCUAUUGCUGCAUAAUUUGUGUUGAAUGCAAAAUAUAUAAUUAGUUUACAUAAUUUCAAAAACCGUGUGCAAUAUAUUAUGGAUUUAUUUAAGGAAGAUCUGAGUUGAAAAGAAAAAAAUAAAACACAAAAUAUUUUAAAAUUAAUAUGUACAUUCUAUUGUUUAGAUUUUUUCAAAAAUUGCUCUAAACGAAAACCAUUAUGAUAAUUACUUAAAAUUUAUUAUUAUUUGAGUUUAUUUCAUAGUAAAAAUAAAUAUUUGUUAAUAUUUAAUAUGGUUUUUUAGAAAUUAUGAAAUAAAAUUUCGUUUUAUAUUUCAAAAUUUGUAAUAAAAAUAUUAUAACAAAACUGAAUAUUAAAAUAUUUUCAUUUAAUUUUUUUACCAAAUUUUAAAUUCAGUCUUAAAAUCUUCCUUAAAUAAUAUUUGCAUCUAGUUAUUAUUUAAGGAAGAUCUGAGUUGAAAAGAAAAAAAUAAAACACAAAAUAUUUCAAAAUUAAUAUGUACAUUAUAUUGUUUAGAUUUUUUCGAAAAUUGCUCUAAACGAAAACCAUUAUGAUAAUUACUUAAAAUUUAUUAUUAUUUGAGUUUAUUUCAUAGUAAAAAUAAAUAUUUGUUAAUAUUUAAUAUGGUUUUUUAGAAAUUAUGAAAUAAAAUUUCGUUUUAUAUUUCAAAAUUUGUAAUAAAAAUAUUAUAACAAAACUGAAUAUUAAAAUAUUUGCAUUUAAUUUUUUUACCAAAUUUCAAAUUCAAUCUUAAAAUCCUCCAUUGAUAAAUCUUUUUAAAUGAUAGUUUUUUUUAAUUUUGAAUUAAAAUGAUAUUAUUUUUAUUUGUAUUUUUGAUAUAGAAUAGUCUAUUAGGAUUGGUUUAGAAAAAAUCUUAGUUGGAUAUCAAAUCUUAGUUUUUCAAUUCCUAUUGGUUAACAAUUUUUAAAAAAAUUAAUUUCAAAUUUUCGUUUAUAAUUAAUAAGAGAGAGAAAAUUAGUUUAUUUUUUUGGAAAUUAAUAAGUAUUUAAAAGAAUUAAACUAUUUUUUAUUUAAAUAUAUUAAUUUUGUGAUUACUAUUGUACCCUUAAUGAAGUUAUUUAAAAACACUAAAAACCAAUGACAUUUUUUGUAAUUCUUUACCUUUUAUAAGGUUAUUUAUUAUCCAAUGCUUCCCAAUUAAUAAUAUAGAUUUGCAAUUUAUUCAACAUGUUUUCUGUUUCAUUAAUCAUGUCUGAGUAAUCACCCUAUUAGGUUUAGGGAUUCUCACUAAGGAUUUAGAUGAACUAGUAAAUCGAUUAACUGUUAGGAAUCCAUAGAGUUCUUCAUCUAGGUUGUUAUUAAUGCUUGUUCGAGAGUAGCUGAUCGUAGGAUAAUAGGUAUUUGAUCCGAGAGGGCACAUGUUACUGGAACUACUUUAGAUGAGCCUAGUUUAUAGGUGUGUAAUAAGAAUCGGCCUAUCUACUAAGGUGAACAUAUCAAACCUGAAUUUAAUGCUAGUCUAGACCUAGGAAUUCGCAUCGAGAGGUGGAAUUUCUGGUAUUAGGCUUGUUAGUUAUCGCAUCGAGAGGUGGUUAGCUAUUCAUUAGUGAUUUGAGUUCAAGAACGGUUCAUUAAAUAAUCCUAAUUAAUUUGCUAGAUUUAUUACUAGUUUAUUUCCUGAGAAUUUCUCUAAACCUGAAACUUUAAUCUAUUGAUCUUUUCACCUGAAAUCAUUGUUUGCUAUUGUUUUAUUUUAAUUUUAAUAAUUUUAUUUAGCCUAAUUUCGAGACUUAUAACUUAUUGUGUGAACAAAAGAACUUUGUGGAUCGACCCUUAAGUGCUGCAAUCGACCUCUUAAUAUGAGAGAGUAGGCUUUAAGAUUAAUUUGACCUGUAUCACUUUAUUCUAUCUUAAGGCAAUAUAUAUGGGUUGUAUAUAUACAACGAAAUAUUGAUGCUAAGUUAGCACUAUUACAAAGUCCGAAUAUGAGAAGACAUCCUCAUGUGACGCUUGUGAUUUGGCGCUUUAAAUGUGGUAAGCGUCAAAUAAACCAUUUUAAAUGGUAUAUAUAGUAAUCCAGAAAUCAUCUCCAUUACUAGGAAUAUUCGAGGAAUAAGUUUUUUUACUUAGUUAUUUAUGAGAUCUUGUAAAUAUUUAUUUGUUUGUUAUAGAUAUAAUUUACGUCAUCCAAUUUUAUAUUUUCUCGAAUAUUAUCAUAAAAUAAAUAUUAAUUUCUUAUUUAAAAAAAGUAAGCAAACAAAAAAAUACUAAUUCUCGGACGAAGUUCUUAGUCACCCACAAGUCGUGCUAUGUACCGACUCCAUCCAAAUUUUUGGAUUUCACCCUCUAGAAUUUUUCAUUUCUAUAUUAUAACUCUUCGUUAUGUAUUUUGUCACUUAUAAAUAAUUUUACAUUCAUAUAAAUUAUUUCAUAAGUGUUUUUAUAAUUAUUUUUUUUAUAUUUUUAUUCAUAAAUUGUUUUAACAUCUUUGGAAAAUAUUUACGAUAUAACUUUAAAACAUAGCUAAUUUUAUGUAAUAAUUUAAAUUUUGAAUAUGUUAUCAUAAUAAUUUAAUACAUAAAUACAAUCAAAUAUAUUUUUUGAAAAUGAGUUCUCCCACGACAUCGCGGUAAUUCAUACCUAGUUAUUUUAAUAAAAUAGAUAAUAUUUUCAAUUUCUAUAAUACAAAAUUAGUUAUUUUUUUCUGGGUUAUGAUGAUUUAUAUUUUGUAAAUUUUAUUAUAGAUCGAAUCGUGUUUAGAUAGAUAAUAAAUAACUUUUAGGUUAAAAAUAAACAAAAUUUAAAUGUUUUUUUUAACGGUGUACAAAAACUUUAAACAUCAAAUAUAAAAAAUUGGAGAAAUCAGUAACUUAAAUCGUAAUAAAAAAUAAGUCAAUAAUUAGCAAACAUACCUAUAUAGUUGUAUCACUAUUCACUAGUUCUCGAUAAAGAUUUGAAUAAUAAUUUUCGUGCCCGUGAUUAGGAACACUCUUUGUCAGCAAGAUUUCCCACAAAAAGUUGUAUCUUGGUGAUAGCUAUAGUUUCAACGAUGAUUGUGCUUUCCAACAAUAUAUAUAUAUAUAUAUUUAAUGCAUACCACCUCGUGACGAUAUAUUUUAAAUUAGUUUAAUAGAAAUUAUAUUUUAUAUAUUAACGAACAGUUUUGCAAAUUAAAGUUCUGAUUGGUAAAGUUUUUUAAGAGUUAGUUGGAACGGUAAACUGUUAAGGAAUAAUGCAAAAAUGUUAAAAAAAAUAUUACAAAAAAACUGUACAGAAAAUAAAGGUUUUUUUGAGGUUUUGAUAUUAUUCUUGUGAUUAGUACCACUUGUAGUACUCUCUUUUUGUUCACCAAUCAAAGCCUAACUUGUAGUGGAAUAGUAGUUUCCGCAUGAAAUAUAGUAUCUUUAUUUCGAUUUAGGUCAUAGAACGUAAAUAAAUGGUGAGAUAUAUUCAUGGAAAAAGAUAAUUUAUACUGUAUGCAUGAUUAACGAGAUUGGUAUAAUAUUGUGUUAACACAUGUAACACGCAGUCCUACAGUAAGAAAACUUUAAUCGAUGUGGUAAUUAAACAUAAGAAUUGAGAUUUUGUUCAUAUACUUAUAUAUAGUUGAAUUUUUCUUUCUUUAAUAAAUAAAAAUUGGAAGAACCAUUAACCAUCUGACAUUGGAUAUAGAAAUGACUCUUUCUGAUGCAAAAUAACUAAACCAGAGGAACCAAACAUUCAUAACAAAGCACAUAGGAUAUUAAAUUGGCCAGAACGGCGAGUUGCAAUAUGAAAGAAGAGAUGAUAUCUUGUCAUAAAGUCAAACAUGGAUUAUGAAAGACUUAGCCAUACAACAUGAAGGUUAUUCUGAAAUACCGGGAAGGAUAUUGAUGAAUGAUGAACUUUUAUAAUAAGUGGAUUGCGUAUUUUUUGAAAAAGUAUUUUGACCAUUUUCAAGCACUGGGUUACACGAUAAUGGUACCAUUAUUCAUAAACCGCAAAAUCAAAAAUGUAAAUAACCCUAACAAAAUUCCAAAUAGAACAUCCCUGAUUUUUAUAGCAACUAUACACUUAAUACGAGGACCUUUUAUUUAUUGAGUUGUGAUAAGAUGGACACUUUAUUUGAGCAGUGGCACAUAUGAGGUGAUGCAUGUAUGGGAACAAAUUAAAGACGUGAAAGUGUACGACAAGAUGCUUAAUUAGAUCUUGCAGUAGAGUGGAUUAGGGAGCUUUAAAGUCCUUCUACCAGGACUUUCCUUUAUCAAAUCAGCCCAUUGGUCUCCAAUAUUCCCAAUGAUAGUGUGGCCACUCCUCUCUAGCUUCUUCCUCUCUUCUGACUUGAAGCUCGAUACCUUCUUGUUUGAGCCUGUUGGCCUGUGUUUACACAUAUACAUAUAUCUUUCGAUUCAGUCACACAUAUGAUUAAGCUACUUUAACUAAUAUUUUUAAUUAUUAUAUAUGAUUAAACCUACUUUGAUUAUUCUUAUUUGAAAAUGACAUGCCUCCAAUAGGUGAAUCCAGCAGCUUUGAGAUUCUUUAGAGUGAUUUCCUCCAAAUCUUGGAAUCGUUCAGUAAGUAAGACAGGGCGAAUCCCGAUUUCAGGGAUGUUUUGGUAAAGAUGCAAGGUCUCUGGGAGCCCGGGAGCUUCUCCGACCACCAACCACUUCUUGAAUGUCUCCGGGUUGUGCUUCUCUGUUCUAAAAAACCAAACAAACAAAAUAUAGUUUCAAUACAAUAAAUCGAAAUUAUGUUGACAUCUAAAUAUUUUAAAAUAUACGGAAAUGAUAUUUACAAGAAAUCAUAUUAGAAUUUCAUUAAAAAUUAGACACUGUGUGAAUACAAACUAUGGUGGUUAGGCAUAAUUAAUAAUACAAUAUGUAUACCUGUAUCCAUAUUUGGCGUAAAAGGGAACAUUAGAGAGGAGGGUCUCGUCUAGGUCAAAGAUCCAAACAUUGUAGGUGUCGUUCUUUAAGGCAAGUCCUUUGACGUAGUAGUAAGCUUCUUUUCUUUGCACACCGUUUUGGAGUCGUAACGAUACUGUUGUGAAGUGGUCAAGUAGUCUUCAACAUAGUCUUUGCAGUUUGAAGGCACCGUCUUGAAGUUUAUGAUGUAGACGUCUCAACACCAAGGUGCCAGCUUCUGCAGUCGGGGUAGCUGAUGGUAAGUCCUUCUUUCUCUAAGAGUUCGGCUUCGUCCC